rnacentral:lncRNA from 1 species
UGUCUUUUUUUUUGUAGUGCACAACCACUGAACUCAACCCUGGGCAACCAUCCUCGUCGCCUUGUCCAUUUAGCUAUGACCCAUUUUUAGAUCGUUGCAUGGUCAAUCAGUACCCAGUAAUGUUUCAUUUCACCAUGAUCUUCCAUGUACUAGCUUGUAAUUAGUUUUCCAUCAAGCUCCUCAAUGUACUAGUAUGUGCUACCUGGUUCACCUACCAUGUAAAUGGCUUUGUCCUAUGAUUCGUCAAGCAAUAAAUAAAGUGGGUGUGUUCAAUAUCAACUUCAGCAUUACAAAUUAACCAAGGUUCCUGGCAAUACCUAACCAUGCUAAUCUCCUGCAAAGACUGACUCCACACAUAAAACAUCAGCAAGCAGAUAAAUAAGGAGUGCGAGGCACACGCCAGCUGCCAUAAAUUUCCCACGUACAGCCAACGCUCCUUUAAAUAGCUGCGAGCUACCAAGUUGUAAAUGCAUGGAAGGCAAUCAAGGAACCCAGGAAUGAUUAAAAUCAUGCGUGAGGCUGCAUUGUGGGUCGUCUACUGCCGAGGUUAGAGGUAAUACGCAAGCCAUACAAGUUGUAUAUGAUACAUGGAAUUAAUUAUACAUGCUUGAUGUAUUCGAACUGCACGAAUCAUGUGGGAAUGGGCAGGGAGGAUACCAACCUCGUGUGGCUGCAUGUCCACUCAUGAUUUAUCGCAAUAGGCUGGUCAUAAUUUCACAACAUCAAUAUAAAUAUACAUGACCUAGUAAUAAUUUCAUUAUAUAAAAAGCAAGUAGCAGACUAAUAAUAGUGUUAGCCUGUUUUUGAGAUGGCGGUAAUUACAACACAUUGUAGCGUGAAUUCCUCAAGACCUUUUUUUCUUCGGAGCAGAAUAUAAUGAAGUGGUGUAUCCCAUUGCCUUCAUAGGCUUUCUUAUCUCAGCUGGACUGUGAUUCCUUGCUCCUAUUCAUGGAUCUUUACUUAUAACUUUGGUCCUUUCUUUAACUGUCGUGGAAAAAUGUAGGUUAAAGUGUUGCACCUUGUCAGUGAGUUAAUUCUUGUUUGUUGUACCAAAUAAUGCCCUCCUUGUGUUCCUCCAGUCUAUCUAUAUAACAAUGUCCUCCUUGUGUUGGUUUCUGCAGGAAGUUUAUAUAAAGGAUUGUCGAUAGUUUGUCUGAUAAUCAAAUAAGAUCAUGCAAAUGUAUAUUUUGGAGGGUUGUUCUUAACGAUAUGACCAAGAUAAAAUACAACAAUGGAAAAUAUUGUGCGAUGCUAUCUGGGAGAAAAUAUUCUGACUAUGAGCUAGCAUCUAGGAGCCAUAGCAAUUUUCAGAUAAGUAAAAUGGAUGUCAGAUUAGUAAUCAGAAAAACGAUCCGACAGCAGAAAUGCCCUGAGCGCUGACAGAGCUCCGUUUCCCCCUCAGUUCUUAUUUCUGGAUAGGAGCCAUAGCAAUUUUGAGAUAAGUAAAAUAUGGAUGUUGUAUUCGUAACAGGUUAAUAGUACACAAACCAACUGAGACUAGGACCCUGUCAUAUAGGAUCCAUAGUAGUUUUCACUAUACUACUGCUGACACGUAUAAUCUACAUACUACAAUUUACAAUUUAACAACUGAAAAAUGGCUACUCCAAUGGUUGUGCAUAUAUUCUCUAAUAAGUGAAGUUGUCCAAGUUUAGUAUCAACCUUUCUUGUGCACUCAUAUGCUCACCCAGAUUCCAAAAGAACAAGAAGCCUAAAUCAUACCAAGAACUUUGGUUGUGAAAUUCACUGUACACAUCUCUUCUCCAAAUCUGCAAAAGAACAUAGUGAAAUGAGGAAAAUUCCAUAGUAGUAUUUCAUAUUAUCAAUGAAAAACUUGCUUUAGUUACCUUGGGUACAAGCAAGGGAGGUCACAUGCCACAGCAUGAGCUUUCAUUUCACCGAACAAUCCAGAAGUAAUAAUACAAAAGUUCGUAUAGGCAUGACUAAAUUGCAUAUCACCCAAAUUUUGUUCAACCAUGAAUACAGCCCAGCCGUUGCUCCUGCUAUUUUUUCACUCUAAACUCGCUUCACCUUUUGCCUUUUGGAAGAAUGUGUAGAUUUUUAACUCUAAUAUCCAAAAUCACGUACGAUAUAAUGUUCAUAACAGCACUACGCUAAUUUGUCCCUCAAUCAUAUCUAGUACCACAUGAUUUCCAUCUCUAAAACAAUGGCCUCAUCAGCAAUCCUUCCUAAUGAACCCACACUAAUUUUAAAUUAUGUAACUCGAGGCAAUGUGAAGCCAUAUGAAACAUCAAGCUAUACACUGAACACCUAACUUGCACAUAAUGCCUACAACCCAAAGAGUGGCAGAAAUCUCAUCUUACCAUGUGCACGAUUAUAGCAAGUAAAUCAAUUCAAAGUAGAUUCUUUUCGUUGGUACAAUAUUGCGUACUGAAAUUAAGAAGCCUAGUAUUGUGAAACAUGAAUAAGUCAAUUGAGAAAAUCCAGUGUGUACAUUGGACUUUCUACACAUUUUAAGACAGUAUGUUGAUUAGUGCAAAGCUAGAAGCACAACAAGAUUAGAAAAAAUCUACACCUUCGAAUUUCUUUUCUCCCUACAACUAAAAAAUCGUCAACAACUCACCGCCAAAGAUGUAGCAACAAAAUAGGGAAUGUGUAAACAAGAUACACAACAGAUGUAUGAUACAUCUCCAACGUAUCUAUAAUUUUCGAUUGUUCCAUGUUAUUAUAUUAUCUGUGUUGGAUGUUUUAUAUGCAUUAAUAUGAUAUUUUAUAUUAAUUUUGGGACUAAGCUAUUAACCUAGAGCCCAGUGCUAGUUUCUGUUUUUUCCUUGUUUUUGGGUUUCGUAGGAAAAGAAUACUAAAUGGAGUCCAAACGGAAUAAAACUUUACGAUGAUAUUUCUUGGACCAGAAGACACCCAGGCGACUUGGAGUUCAAGUCAGAAGAGCCACGAGGCGGCGGCAAGGGUGGGGGUGCGCCCCCUACCUUGUAGGCCCCUCAGUGACCCCCUGACCUAGAUCUUCCUCCUAUAUAUUCACAUAUAUUCCCAAACCCUCAGAAGCAUCCAUGAAAACACUUUUCCACGGCCGCAACCUUCUAUUCCCGUGAGAUCCCAUCUUGGUGCCUUUUUUGGCAUCCUGUCGGAGGGGGAUUCGAUCACAGAGGGCAUAUACAUCAACUCUAUUGCCCUUCCGAUGAAGCACGAGUAGUUGACCUUAGACCUACAGGUCCAUGGCUAGUAGCUAGAUGGCUUAUUCUCUCUCUUUGAUUCUCAAUACCAUGUUCUCCUCGAUAUUCUUGGAGAUCUAUCUGAUGUAAUCCUCUUUUGCGGUGUGUUUGUCGAGAUCUGAUGAAUUGUGGAUUUAUGAUCAGCUUAUCUAUGAAUAUUAUUUGAGUCUUCUCUAAAUUCUUAUAUUCAUGAUUUGGUAUAUUUGUAUUUCUCUUCGAAUUAUCGGUUUGGUUUGGCCAACUAGAUUGGUAUUUCUUGCAGUGGGAGAGGUGCUUAGCUUUGGGAUCAAUCUUGCGUGAUUUCACCUAGUGACAAAGUAGGGGUAGCGAGACACGUAUUGCAUUGUUGCCAUUGAGGAUAAAAAGAUGGGGUUUUCAUCACAUUGCUUGAGUUAAUUCCCCUACAUCAUGUCAUCUUAAUGUGCUACUCUGUUCUUAUGAACUUAAUAAUCUAGAUGCAGGCAGGAGUUGGGCGAUGUGUGGAGUAAUAGUAGUAGAUGCAGAAUCAUUUCGAUCUACUAGACACAGAUGUGAUGCAUAUAUUGCAUCAUCAUUGCCUUGGAUAUCGUCAUAACUUUGCGCUUUUCUAUCAAUUGCUCGACAAUAUUUUGUUUAUUCAUCGUAUUAUUUGCCUUCAUGAGAGAAGCCUCUACUGAAACCUAUGGCCCCCGGGUCUAUUUUCCAUCAUAUUAGUUUUCGAUCUACUAUUUUGCAAUUUUUUAUUUUUCAUAUCUAUAAACCAAAAAACCCAAAAAUAUUUUAUCUUUUGUUUAGUUUUAUUUAUCUAUCUCUAUCAGAUCUCACUUUUGCAACUGACCGUGAAGGGAUUGACAACCCCUUUAUCGCGUUGAGUGCAAGUGUUUGAUUGUUUGUGCAAGUAUUGGUGAUUUGCGCGUUCUUCUCCUACUGGAUUGAUACCUUGGUUCUUAACUGAGGGGAAUACUUAUCUCUACUGUGCUGGAUCACCCUUUCCUCCUCAAGGGAAAAACCAAUGCAAGCUCAAGAUGUAGCCAUGUACAGGGAUCUUGUGUUUUAUGGUGCCAUCAUAAAACAGUAGGCAUUCCCUACUAGAUUCUUCUUGAUAAGUUUAGAUGCAUCAAAGAAUAAAUGGCUAUCACUACAUGCAGUGUAGGAAAGUACUAACUAAAAUUAUAUUAAAAAUAGAGAUGGUGUCUCAAGGCCUGCCGCUCAACGCCAUAUGAUGCUACCGUCUACUUUAUCAAUCAUCGAAUUGGUAGAUGGCAUAAUUAUUUGCGAAACUAAUUUAGGAUACUUAGCAGGCCUCUUGCCACUGAAUUCCUUUCUAAAUGAUUCCCUUAUAGCACAACCAAAUGUAGCUGCAAAACUUUUGGAAAGCCGAAUAGUAAUCUCUUCAAUAAGAAUCUGAGAGUGGUAUCUUCAUAUCUGUUAAUACAGUCCUUGUGCAGAUGUUCCUGACAACAUCUUGUACAUCAAACACACACAGUUCAACCAUACAUAUAUUUCCACAUAAAAAUUUUGUGACAUCAUACAUCACUCCAUCCAUACACAAGCAUACUUGUAGGACAAUAACCAACCUGCAGCCAUACAUACAAGCUAGAUAUUGGAGUUCCUUGAUACAUCUGAAAUACAAACACACUAAUUACUUGAAUUCUAGAAUUACUAGCCUUAGAGGUGGGAACAAAGCUUGUGAUCAACAUUGAGAUAGAAAACAGCAAUCAUAGGAGCACCGUUGCAUAAAAGAAUUUACAGAUUCAGAAAUUGCCACUCAGAAGUGAGAUGGAAAUAUUUAGCAGAGAACAUCUCAUUCAUAAAUAGAAAUUUUGAUUUAGAGACAGCUCCACCUCCUGCUCAUGUUCAUCUCUAGCCGUCAACAACUCAAACAAGAUGACAAAAGAUAGCAAUCGGUACUAACUAAAGAACGUAGGAUGGAACUAAACAAAAUGAGAUUAUUAUGCUUCUAGCACACAGAAUUACAGAACUAAACAUUUGCUCCUAGCACAGAAAAACAUAAUUCUUUAAAUAUAAGAUAAUUUCCUAAUUUUCCAUGGAACUUGUGCUUUGGUUCUUGAUCCUUUCUUUGAAUUAUAUAAGUCUAAAAUUUUGUAAUACAAUGCUAUGAAGUAAAAUAUACCCAUUUCAUCCUUCUCAGUUCUGCUUUAUUAUUCAUCAUCCAGUGACAAUUACUUUUUUCCAAAGCAAGAACUUGUAUUAUUUUUACCAUGAAUACAAUAUGCCUUCUAAUAUAGGAGGUCAUCACUAACCAUCCCAUUCAGGUAUAGCAAACAUAAAUCGCUAUACUCACUAAAGAAGAGCAAAGAAGAAAAUAGAUCACUCAAAAAUACAGAGGUAUAACUUCAGAAAUCCAACGACCGAUGAUUCCUGAGAUAUGUUGGUAAAAUAACUCCUGAUAUGCUGGUAAAAUAACUUUUUCCUUGAUAUAUGUAGGCCCAUAAAUCAUAUCUUUAGGUUGCAAAAUGAAUUUUUCCCUGUAUGAAGGUAAUUUCAUGCCUAUGUUGGUAAUGUUUUCAAAAAAAAUUAUCUCAAAGCAACACAAUUUCCUAAAUUAAUUUACAUAUAUGGUAAAUAUGCAUUACACAACAAUCUAUGUUAGUUCAACAACUUAAGCUUGAAGAUGUUGCUAGAAUCGCUACAGCUAUCUAUACAAAAAUUAAUUCAAUAUAAACAUGUUGUAUGAGCUUGCAAAAUUAGACCACAAUAGAUUAAAUAGCCAAAGGAAGGACUGAAGGAUAUAUAAUUAAGUAGACUCUAAUCUCGCCGCCUCGAGAUCAGAAACAAGGGUACCCAGCUCUGGUUGGCUCAUGGUAACAACUCCAUGGAAGAUCUAGUCACCAAGCAGUCUUAACCAUGGCCUGAAUUAGAAGCAAAUUCAUUCACUACACCUACCAUAUGAAGGCCUUACUAAGAAAAUAAACAUCACUAUAUUGUAAAAAUUAAUGCAAUCAGCUUUAAAAAAACAACUAUAUCAUUCUGACCGACUUUGCUCAAACACGAACAGGCUCCAGACCACUUUUUUAUGUCAAUAUUAGUUCUAAAAGGAGUGAUAGAAGACUGCUGGAGGUACAAAUAAGAAUCAUUUCAUAUUACAAAUAGAGCAUACUUUUGCAUCAGUAAAUGUCGAUUUGCAAUACAUUCAGACAUCCAAUAGAUCCAAAGUGUGACAUAAUUAUAAUUGUAGACCACAUGGUAUCAGUUGCCAAGUUAUUUAUUAUUCCAUGGCCUAUGAAAGUGAAGAUUAGUGAUGUCACACUAUUGGUACAGGAAAACUACUACAGCUUCAAAAAGAAAAACUGGAUUUAUUUUCUUAUGUACAGUAUAGUGCCUGGCCAUCAAUAGGUUUGCAUUAAAUGUCAGAAAAUGAUAUAAAUACAUAUAUCAGAUUGCUUAAAGGGUCCAAUUAGAAGCUCCUAGUUAUUUUAGUCUGCCAAGCAAUCCGUGUGUGCUGCAAUCUUCAAGCAAUCUGGCCAUGAAAAUAUUUCUUCAGUCUUGGCUGAUAUAGGAAGAAGGCACACAUCAUCAAAUCCGGCGAAUACCGAAAGAUGGAUAAACACUAGGCCUUUCCCAAUGAGCAUGUUGAGCCAGUCAAGAAGGCAAAAAAGGAAAUGAACAAAACAAUUGCAACUGAAGAAAUCAAGAUGCUUCCUGCAAAUGACUUAUCUAAGGAAUGUAAGAAAAAUGAAACUGCGAUCCAUAGGGCAGGUUGCGAAGUUUACUAUGAUACGAAACAUAUGAAGGAAAUGUGCCCUAGAGGCAAUAAUAAAGUUAUUAUUUAUUUCCUUAUUUCAUGAUAAAUGUUUAUUAUUCAUGCUAGAAUUGUAGUAACCGGAAACUUAGUACAUGUGUGAAUAUAUAGAUAAAACACAUAGUCCCUAGUAUGCCUCUAUUUGACUAGCUCGUUAAUCAAAGAUGGUUAUGUUUCCUAACCAUAGACAUGUGUUUUAAUUUGAUCAAUGGGAUCACAUCAUUAGGAGAAUGAUGUGAUGGACAAGACCCAUCCGUUAGCUUAGCAUUAUGAUCGUUACAGUUUCAUUGCUACUGCUUUCUUCGUGACUUAUACAAGUUCCUCGGACUAUGAGAUUAUGCAACUCCCGAAUACUGGAGGAACACUUUGUGUGCUACCAGACGUCACAACAUAAUUGGGUGAUUAUAAAGGUGCUCUACAAGUGUCUCCGAAGGUGUUUGUUGGGUUGGCAUAGAUCAAGAUUAGGAUUUGUCACUCCGUGUUUCGGAGAGGUGUCUCUGGGCCCUCUCGGUAAUACUCAUCACUAGAAGCCUUGCAAACAUUGUGACUAAUGAGUUAGUUGCGGGAUGAAGUAUUGCGGAACGAGUAAAGAGACUUCCCAGUAACGAGAUUGAACUAGGUAUGAUGAUACCAACGAUCGAAUCUCGGGAAAGUAACAUACUGAUGACAAAGGGAACAACGUAUGUUGUUAUGCAGUUUGACCGAUAAAGAUCUUCGAAGAAUAUGUAGGAACCAAUAUGAGCAUCCAGGUUCUGCUAUUGUUUAUUGACCGGAGACGUGUCUUGGUCAUGUCUACAUAGUUCUUGAACCCGUAGGGUCCGCACGCUUAACAUUCAAUGAUGAUUUGUAUUGUGAGUUAUGUGAUUUGAUGACCUAAGUUUGUUCAGAGUCCUAGAUGAGAUCACGGACGUGACGAGGAAUCUCGAAAUGGUUGAGAUGUAAAGAUCGAUAUAUUGGAAGGCUAUAUUCGGACAUCGGAAAGGUUCCGAGUGAUUCAGGUAUUUUUCGGAGUACCGGAGAGUUACGAGAAUUCGCCGGGGGAAGUAGUGGGCCUUAAUGGGAAAUACGGGAAAGGAGAGAAGGGCCUCAAGGGGUGUCCACACACCCCUCAUGGCAAGUCCGAAUUGGACUAGGUAGGGGGUGGGGCCCCCUCUCUUUUCUUCUCCCUCUCCUACUCCUUCCCUCUCUCCCUUCUUGGAAAAGGAAGGGGACUCCAACUAGGAUUGGGAAUCGUAGUUGGACUCCCCCUAUAGGUGCGCCCCUCCUAGGCCGGCCUCCUCCUCCUCCCUCCUUUAUAUAUGUGGCCAGGGGGCACCCCAUAGACACACAAGUUGAUCAAGUUGAUCUUUUAGCCAUGUGCGGUGCCCCCCUCCACAGUUACACACCUCGGUCAUAUCAUCGUAGUGCUUAGGCAAAGCCCUGCGCCAGUAACUUCAUCAUCACUGUCGCCACGCCAUCGUGCUGACAAAACUCUCCCUCGGCCUCAACUGGAUCAAUAUUACGAGGGACGUCGUCGAGCUGAACGUGUGCUGAACACGGAGGUGCCGUACGUUUGGUGCUUAGAUCGGUUGGAUCGCAAAGACGUUCAACUACAUCAACCGCGUUAACUAAAUGCUUCCGCUUUCGGUCUACAAGGGUACAUGGACACACUCUCCCUUCUCGUUGAUAUGCAUCUCCUAGAUAGAUCUUGCGUGAUCGUAGGAAAUUUUUUGAAAUUACUGCGUUCCCCAACAGUGGUAUCAGAGCCAGGUCUAUGCGUAGAUGUUAUAUGCACGAGUAGAACACAAAGAAUUGUGGGCAAUAAUAGUCAUACUGCUUACCAGCAUGUAAUACUUUGAUUCGGCGGUAUUGUUGGAUGAAGCGGCUUAGACCGACAUUACGUGUACGCUUACGCGAGACUAGUUCUACCGACGUGCUUCGCACAUAGGUGGCUAGUGAGUGUCUGUUUGUCCAACUUUAGUUGAAUCGAAUGUGGCUACACUCGGUCCUUUUUGAAGGUUAAAACAGCACACUUGACAACAAAUCAUUGUGGUUUUGAUGCGUAGGUAAGAACGGUUCUUGCUAAACCCGUAGCAGCCACGUAAAACUUGCAAUAACAAAGUAGAGGACGUCUAACUUGUUUUUGCAAGGCAUGUUGUGAUGUGAUAUGGUCAAGACGUGAUGAUAUAUAAAUUGUUGUAUGAGAUGAUCAUGUUUUGUUAAAGUUAUCAGCAACUGGCAAGAGCCAUAUGGUUGUCUUUUUAUUGCAUAAGAUGCAAGCGCCGUAUAAUUGCUUUACUUUAUCGCUAUGCGAUAGCAAUAGUUGCAAAAUCAAUAGUUGGUGAGACGACCAUGUGAUGACAUGUUGAUAGAGAUCAAGAUGAUGGAGAUCAUGGUGUCAUGAUGGUGGUGAUGGAGAUCAUGAUAGUACUUUGGAGAUGGAGAUCAAAGGCACAAGAUGAUGAUGGCCAUAUCAUGUCACAUAUUUUGAUUGCAUGUGAUGUUUAUCUUUUAUAUUCUUAUUUUUCUUAGUUCAGCGGUAGCAUUAUAAGAUGACCCCUUACUAAAAUUUCAAGGUAUAAGUGUUCUCCCUGAGUAUGCACCAUUGCGACAUUUCUUCGUGCCGAGACACCACGUGAUGAUCGGGUGUGAUAAGCUCUACGUUCACGUAUAACGGGUGCAAGCCAGUUUUGCACAUGCAGAAUACUCGGGUUAAACUUGACGAGCCUACCAUAUGCAGAUAUGGCCUCGGAAUACUGGAGACCGAAAGGUCGAGCGUGAAUCAUAUAGUAGAUAUGAUCAACAUAGUGAUGUUCACCAUUGAAAACUACUCCAUCUCACGUGAUGAUCGGACAUGGUUUAGUAGAUUUGGAUCACGUGAUCAUUUAGAUGACUAGAGGGAUGUCUAUCUAAGUGAGAGUUCUUAAGUAAUAUGAUUAAUUGAACUUUAAUUUAUCAUGAACUUACUCCUGAUAGUAUUUUGCAAAUUAUGUUGUAGAUCAAUAGCUGGAUAGCUUCCCUAUGGUUUUUAUAUGUUCCUAGAGAAAACUAAGUUGAAAGAUGAUAGUAGCAAUGAUGCGGACUGAGUCCAUGAUCUGAGGUUUAUCCUCAUUGCUGCAUAGAAGAAUUAUGUCCUUGAUGCACCGCUAGGUGACAAAACUAUUGCAGGAGCAGAUGCGGACGUUAUGAACAUUGGACUAGCUUAAUAUGAUGACUACUUCAUAGUUUAGUGCAUCAUGCUUUACGGCUUAGAAUCAGGACUUCAAAGACAUUUUGAACAUCAUAGACCAUAUGAGAUGUUCCAUGAGUUGAAGUUAAUAUUUCAAGCAAAUACCCGAGUUGAGAGAUAUGAAGUCUCCAACAAGUUCUAUAGCUAAAAGAUGGAGGAGAAUAGCUCAAGCACUGAGCAUGUGCUCAGAUUGUCUGGGUACUACAAUCGCUUGAAUCAAGUGGGAGUUAAUCUUCCAGAUAAGAUAGUGAUUUACAGAGUUCUCUAGUCACCAUCACCAAGUUACUGGAACUUCGCGAUGAACUAUAGUAUCCAAGGGAUGACAAAAACGAUUCCCAAGCUCUUCGUGAUGCUGAAAUCGACGAAAGUAGAAAUGAAGAAAGAACAUCAAGUGUUGAUGAUUGACAAGACCACUAGUUUCAAGAAAAGGGCAAAGAGAAAGAAAGGGAACUUCAAGUAGAACGGCAAGCAAGUUGUCACUCCCGUGAAGAAGCUCAAAGCUGGACCAAAGCCUGAAACUGAGUGCUUCUGCUGCAAAGGAAAUGGUCACUGGAAGCGGAAAUGCCCUGAAUAUUUGGUGGAUAAGAAGGAUGGCAAAGUGAACAAGGGUAUAUUUGAUAUACAGGUUAUUGAUGUGUACCUUACUAGUGUUUAUAGUAGUCUCUCAGUAUUUGAUACUUGUUUGCUUGCUAAGAUUAGUAACUCGAAACAGGAGUUACAGAAUAAACAGAGACUAGUUGAGGGUGAAGUGAUGAUGUGUGUUGGAAGUGGUUCGAAGAUUGAUAAGAUCAUCAUCACACACUCCCUAUACUUUCGAGAUUAGUGUUGAACCUAAAUAAAUGUUAUUUGGUGUUUCCCUUGAGCAUAAAUAUGAUUAGAUCAUGUUUAUUGCGAUACGAUUAUUCAUCUACGACAGAGAAUAAAUUGUUAUUCUGUUUACAUGAAUAAAACCUUCUAUGGUCAUACACCCAAUGUUGACGGUUUAUUGAAUCUUGAUCGUAGUGAUACACAUAUUCAUAAUAUUGAUGCCAAAAGAUACAAAGUUGAUAAUGAUAGUGCAACGUAUUUGUGGCACUGCCAUUUGCGUCAUAUCGGUGUAAAGCGCAUGAAGAAACUCCAUAAAGAUGGACUUUUGGAAUCAAUUGAUUAUGAAUCAUUUUUAUGCUUGCGAACCGUGCCUUAUGGGCAAGAUGACUAAAACUCCGUUCUCCAGAACAAUGGAACGAGCUAGUGACUUAUUGGAAAUAAUACAUAUUGAUGUAUGCGGUCCAAUGAGUGUUGAUGCUCGUGGCGAGUAUCGUUAUUUUUUGACCUUCACAGAUGAUUUGAGCAGAUAUGGGUAUAUCUACUUAAUGAAACACAAAUCUGAAACAUUUGAAAAGUUUGAAGAAUUUCAGAGUGAAGUGGAGAACCAUCGUAACAAGAAAAUAAAGUAUCUAUGAUCUGAUCAUAGAGGAGAAUAUUUGAGUUACGAGUUUGGCCUUCAUUUAAAACAAUGUGGAAUAGUUUCAUAGCUCACGCUACAUGGAACACCACAGCGUAAUGGUGUGUCCAAACGUCGUAACCGCACUUUACUGGAUAUGGUGCGAUCUAUGAUGUGUCUUACCGGGUUACCACUAUCAUUUUGCGGUUAUGCAUUAGAGACAGCUGCAUUCACUUUAAAUAGGGCACCAUCAAAAUCCAUUGAGACGACGCCUUAUGAACUGUGGUUUGACAAGAAACCAAAGUUGUCGUUUCUUAAAGUCUGGGGCUGUGAUGCUUAUGUGAAAAAGCUUCAACCUGAUAAGCUCGAACCCAAAUCGGAGAAAUGCAUCUUCAUAAGAUAGCCAAAGGAAAAUGUUGGGUACACCUUCUAUCGCAGAUCCGAAGGAUAGAUCGUUGCUAAGAAUGGAUCCUUUCUAGAGAAGGAGUUUCUCUCAAAAGAAGUGAGUGGGAGGAAAGUAGAACUGGAUGAGGUAAUUGUACCUUCUCCCGAAUUGGAAAGUAGCUCAUCACAGAAAUCAGUUCUAGUGAUUCCUACACCAAUUAGUGAGGAAGCUAAUGAUGAUGAUCAUGAAACUUCAGAUCAAGUUACUACAGAACCUCGUAGGUCUUCCAUAGUAUGGUCCACACUAGAAUGGUACGGUAAUCCUAUUCUAGAAGUCAUGUUACUAGACCAUGAUGAACCUACAAACUAUGAGGAAGUGAUGAUGAGCCCAGAUUCCGUGAAAUAGCUUGAGGACAUGAAAUCUGAGAUGGGAUCCAUAUAUGAGAACAAAGUGUGGACUUUGGUGGACUUACCCGAUGAUCGGCAAGCCAUAUUAAAUAAAUGCAUCUUCAAGAGGAAGACGGACACUAAUAGUAGUGUUACUAUCUACAAAGCUCGACUUGUCGCAAAACGUUUUUGACAAAUUCAAGGUGUUGACUACAAUGAGAUUUUCUCAACUGUAGUGAUGCUUAAAUCCGUCCGAAUCAUGUUAUUAGUUGCCAUAUUUUAUGAAAUCUGGCAAAUGGAUGUCAAAACUGCAUUCCUUAAAUGGAUAUUUCUUAAAGAAGAGUUGUAUAUGAUGCAACUAGAAGGUUUUUUCAAUCCUAAAGGUACUAACAAGGUGUGCAAGCUCCAGUGAUCCAUCUAUGGACUGGUGCAAGCAUCUCGGAGUUGGAAUAUACGCUUUUGAUGAGUUGAUCAAAGCAUAUAGUUUUAUACAGACUUGCGGUGAAGCCUGUAUUUACAAGAAAGUGAGUGGGAGCACUACAGCCUUUCUGAUAAGGAUAUGUGAAUUACAUAUUGUUGAUCAGAAAUGAUGUAAAAUUUUCUGGAAAGCAUAAAGGAGAGUUUGAAAGGAGUUUUUCAAAGAAAGACCUUGGUGAAGUUGCUUAUAUAUAGGGCAUCAAGAUCUAUACAGAUAGAUCAAGACACUUGAUAAGAUUUUUCAAUGAAUACAUACCUUGACAAGUUUUUGAAAGAGUUCAAAAUGGAUCAGUCAAAGAAGAAGUUCUUGCCUGUAUUACAAGGUGUAAAGUUGAGUAAGACUCAAAGCCCAACCAAGGCAGAAGAUAGAAAGAGAAUGAAAGUCAUUCCCUAUGCCACAGUCAUAGGUUGUAUAAAGUAUGUUGUGCUGUGUACCAAACCUAUUGUGCACCUUGCCCUGAGUUUGGGAAAGGGGUACAAUAGUGAUCUAAGAGUAGAUCACUGGACAGUGGUCAAAAUUAUCCUUAGUGAGGACUAAGGAAAUAUUUCUCGGUUAUGGAGGUGAUAAAGAGUUCGUCGUAAAGAGGUACGUCGAUGCAAGCUUUUACACCGAUCCAGAUGACUCUAAGUCUCAAUCUAGAUACAUAUUGAAAGCGGGAGCAAUUAGCUAGAGUAGCUCCAAGCAGAGCAUUGUAGACAUAGAAUAUUUGCAAAAUACAUACGGCUCUGAAUGUAACAGACCCGUUGUCUAAACUUCUCUCAUGAGCAAAACAUGAUCACACCUUAGUACUCUUUGGGUGUUAAUCACAUAGCGAUGUGAACUAGAUUAUUGAUUCUAGUAAACCCUUUGGGUGUUGGUCACAUGGCGAUGUGAACUAUGGGUGUUAAUCACAUACAGAUGUGAACUAUUGGUGUUAAAUCACAUGGCGAUGUGAACUAGAUUAUUGACUCUAGUGCAAGUGGGAGACUGAAGGAAAUAUGCCCUAGAGGCAAUAAUAAAGUUAUUAUUUAUUUCCUUAUUUCAUGAUAAAUGUUUAUUAUUCCUGCUGGAAUUGUUUUAACCAGAAACUUAGUACAUGUGUGAAUACAUAGACAAAACAUAUAGUCCCUAGUAUGCCUCUACUUGACUAGCUAGUUAAUCAAAGAUGGUUAUGUUUCCUAACCAUAGACAUGUGUUGUCAUUUGAUGAACGGGAUCACAUCAUUAGGAGAAUGAUGUGAUGGACAAGACCCAUCUGUUAGCUUAGCAUUAUGAUCGUUACAGUUUCAUUGCUACUGCUUUCUUCAUGACUUAUGCAAGUUCCUCAUACGAUGAGAUUAUGCAACUCCUGAAUACCGGAGGAACACUUUGUGUGCUACCAAACGUCACAAUGUAAUUGGGUGAUUAUAAAGGUGCUCUACAGGUGUCUCCGAAGGUGUUUGUUGGGUUGGCAUAGAUCAAGAUUAGGAUUUGUCACUUCGUGUCUCGGAGAGGUAUCUCUGGGCCCUCUCGGUAAUACUCAUCACUAUAAGCCUUGCAAGCAUUGUGACUAAUGAGUUAGUUGCAGGAUGAAGUAUUACAGAACGAGUAAAGAGACUUGCCGGUAAUGAGAUUGAACUAGGUAUGAUGAAACCAACGAUUGAAUCUCGGCCAAGUAACAUAUUGAUGACAAAGGGAACAACAUAUGUUGUUAUGCGGUUUGACCGAUAAAGAUCUUCGAAGAAUAUGUAGGAACCAAUAUGAGCAUCCAGGUUCCGCUAUUGGUUACUGACCUAAGACGUGUCUCGUUCAUGUAUACAUAGUUCUCAAAACCGUAGGGUCCGCACGCUUAACGUUCGAUGACGAUUUGUAUUAUGAGUUAUGUGAUUUGAUGACCGAAGUUUGUUUGGAGUCCCGGAUGAGAUCACGGACAUGACAAGGAGUCUCGAAAUGGUCGAUACGUAAAGAUUGAUAUAUUGGAAGUCUAUAUUUGAACAUUGGAAAGGUUCCGAGUGAUUUGGGUAUUUUUUGGAGUACCGCAGAGUUACGAGAAUUCGCCGGGGGAAUGUGUGGGCCUUAAUUAAUGGGCCAUACAGGAAAGGAGAGAAGGGCCUCAAGGGGUGGCCGCGCGCCCCCCAUGGCAAGUCCGAAUUGGACUAUGGAGGGGGCGAUGCCCCCCUCUCUUUUUUCACCCUCUCCUACUCCUUCCCUCUCUCCCCUCUUGGAAAAGGAAGGGGACUCCAAGUAGGAUUGGGAAUCCUAGUUGGACUCCCCCUAUAGGCGCGCCCCUCCUAGGCCGGCGUGGCCAGGGGGCACCCCAUAGACACACAAGUCGAUCAAGUUGAUCGUUUAGCCAUGUGCGGUGCCCCCCUCCACAGUUACACACCUCGGUCAUAUCGUCGUAGUGCUUAGAUGAAGCCCUGCGCCGGUAGCGUCAUCAUCACUGUCUCCAUGCUGUCGUGCUGAUGAAACUCUCCCUCGGCCUCAACUGGAUCAAGAGUACAAGGGACGUCAUCGAGCUGAACUUGUGCUGAACGCAGAGGUGCCGUAUGUUCGGUGCUUGGAUCGGUUGGAUCGCAAAGACGUUCGACUACAUCAACCGCGUUAACUAAAUGCUUCCGCUUUCGGUCUACAAGGGUACGUGGACACACUCUCCCUUCUCGUUGAUAUGCAUCUCUGAUAACCCACAAGUAUAGGGGAUCAAUUGUAGCCUCUUUCGAUAAGUAAAAGUGUCGAACCCAACGAGGAGCUAAAGGUAGAACAAAUAUUCCCUCAAGUUCUAUCGACCACCGAUACAACCCUACGCACGCUUAGCCUUGGCUUUACCUAGAACAAGAAUGAAACUAGAAGUACUUUGUAGGUGUGAAAGGAUAGGUUUGCAAGAUAAUAAAGAGCAUGUAAAUAAAAGAUAGGGAUGUUUAGGUAAAGAAGCAAUAAAGUAAAUCUAGCGAGUGUGGAAAAGUGGUGGUAGGAGUUGUGAAAUUGUCCCUAAGCAAUUGACUACUUUACUAGACCGAUAGCAAGUUUUAUGUGGGAGAGGCAUAAGCUAACAUAAUUUCUCUUCUUGGAUCAUAUGCACUUGUCAUUGGAACUCUAGCAAGCAUCCGCAACUACUAAAGUUCAUUAAGGUAAAACCCAACCAUAGCAUUAAAGCAUCAAGUCCCCUUGAUCCCAUACGCCACAACACCCUUACUCAGGUUUAUGCUUAUGUCACUCAAGCAACCCACUAUAAGUGAAUCAUGAAUGUAUUGCAACACCCUACUGCGGGAAUCCCUCACGCUUGCACGACACGGAGAGCACCAUAGGAUAGCAACAUAACCACAAGCAAUUUAAACCAAUCAUAGCAAUUCAUUAAUCACCGGUAGGACAACGAAAAUCUACUCAGACAUCAUAGGAUGGCAACACAUCAUUGGAUAAUAAUAUGAAGCAUAAAGCACCAUGUUCAAGUAGAGGGUACAGCGGGUUGCGGGAGAGUGGACCGCUGAAUAUAGAUGGGGGAAGGUGAUGGAGAUGUUGGUGAAGAUGAUGGAGGUGUUGGUGUAGAUCGCGGUGAUGAUGAUGGCCCCCGGCACCGUUCCGGCGCCACCGGAAGCAAGGGGGGGAGAGCCCCCCUUCUUCUUCUUCUUCCUUGACCUUCGCCCUAGAUGGGAGAAGGGUUUCCCCUCUGGUUCUUGGUCUCCAUGGCAUGGGAGGGGCGAGAGCCCCUGCGAGAUUGGAUCUGUCUCUCUGUCUCUCUCUGUUUCUGCGCUCUGGGAUUCUGCCCUUUCACCGUUUCUUAUAUAUCCGGAGAUCCGUAACUCCGAUUGGAUUGAAACCUUCACCAUGAUUUUUUUUCCGAAAAUUAGCUUUCUUGCGGCCAAAGAAGAGCAGCAACCGCCUUACGGGGUGCCCACGAGGGUCAGGGCACCGUCUCGCGUAGAUUUUUCUUCCCAAAAAUCAUAAAUAUUCCAAAAAUAUUCUCCAUCCGGUUUUUAUCUCGUUUGGACUCCGUUUGAUAUGGGGUUUCUGCGAAACAUAAAACAUGCAUAAAACAGGAACUGGCACUAGGCACUGGAUCAAUAUGUUAGUCCUAAAAAUAGUAUAAAAAGAUGCCAAAAGUAUAUGAAAGUUUUAGAAUACUGGCAUGGAACAACCAAAAAUUAUAGAUACGAGGGAGACGUAUCAGCAUCCCCAAGCUUAAUUCCUACUCGUCCUGAAGUAGGUAAAUGGUAAAAAGAUAAUUUUUGAUGUGGAAUGCUACCUAGCAUAAUCUUGAUCAUAUAUCUAAUCAUGGCAUGAAUAUUAAGACACGAGUGAUUCAAAGAAAUAGUCUAUCAUUUGACAUAAAAGAAUAAUACUUCAAGCAUACUAAUAAAGCAAUCAUGUCUUUUCAAAACAACAUGGCCAAAGAAAGUUAUCCCUACAAAAUCAUAUAGUCUGGCUACGCUCCAUCUUCACCACACAAAGUAUUUAAAUCAUGCACAACCCCGGUUUUAGCCAAGCAAUUGGUUCAUACUUUAGUAUUCUCAAACCUUUUCAACUUCCACGCAAUACAUGAGUGUGAGCCAUGGAUAUAGCACUAUGGGUGGAAUAGAAUAUGAUGGUGGAGGUUAUGUGGAGAAGACAAAAAAGAGAAAGUCUCACAUCGACGCGGCUAAUCAACGGGCUAUGGAGAUGCCCAUCAAUUGAUGUCGAUGUGAGGAGUAGGGAUUGCCAUGCAACGGAUGCACUAAGAGCUAUAAGUGUAUGAAAGCUCAAACUGGAAACUAAGUGGGUGUGCACCAACUUGCUUGCUCAUGAAGACCUCGGGCAUUUGAGGAAUCCCAUCAUCGGAAUAUACAAGCCAAGUUCUAUAAUGAAAAUUCCCACCAGUAUAUGAAAGUGAAAGCAUAGGAGACUCUCUUUAUGAAGAACAUGGUGCUACUUUGAAGCACAAGUGUGGUAAAAGGAUAGUAGCAUUGCCCCUUCUCUCGUUUUCUCUCAUUUUUUUCAUUUUUUCUCCUUUUUGGUGGGCUUCUUUGGCCUUUCUUUUUUUUAUUAAGUCCGGAGUCUCAUCCCGACUUGUGGGGGAAUCAUAGUCUCCAUCAUCAUUUCCUCACUGGGGCAGUGCUCUAAUAAUGAUGAUCAUCACACUUUCAUUUACUUACAACUCAAUAUUACAACUCGAUACUAGAACAAAGAUAUGACUCUAUAUGAAUGCCUCCGGCGGUGUACCGGGAUGUGCAAUGAUCUAGCGUAGCAAUGACAUCAAAAAACGGACAAGCCAUGAAAACAUCAUGCUAGCUAUCUUACGAUCAUGCAAAGCAAUAUGACAAUGAAUGCUCAAGUCAUGUAUAUGAUGAUGGAAGUUGCAUGGCAAUAUAUCUCGGAAUGGCUAUGGAAAUUCCAUAAUAGGUAGGUAUGGUGGCUGUUUUGAGGAAGAUAUAAGGAGGCUUAUGUGUCAUAGAGCGUAUCGUAUCACGGGGUUUGGAUGCACCGGCGAAGUUUGCACUGACUCUCGAGGUGAGAAAGGGCAAUGCAUGGUACCGAAGAGGCUAGCAAUGAUGGAAGGGUGAGAGUGCGUAUAAUCCAUGGACUCAACAUUAGUCAUAAAGAACUCACAUACUUAUUGGAAAAAUUUAUUGGCCAUCAAAACAAAGUACUACACGCAUGCUCCUAGGGGAAGGGUUGGUAGGAGUUAACCAUCGCGUGAUCCCGACCUCCACACAAACGAUGAAAAUCAAAAAAUAAAUCAUGCUCCGACUUCAUCACAUAUGGGUUCACCAUACGUGCAUGCUUUGGGAAUCACAAACCUCAACACAAUUAUUUCUACUAAUCCACAACUACUCACUAGCAUUACUCUAGUAUCACCACCUUUAUAUCGCAAAACUAUUGCAAGGAAUCAAACAUAUCAUAUUCAGUGAUCUACAAGUUUUAUGUAGGAUUUAUGACUAACCAUGUGAAUGACCAAUUCCUGUCAUCUCUCUAAAUAGAUAUAAGUGAAGCAAGAGAGUUUAAUUCUUUCUACAAAAGGUAUGCCCACGCUAAUUUAAGUGAAGCAAAAGAGCAUUCUACAAAUGGCGGUUUUCUAUGUGAAGAGAAACACGCAAUCCAAACUUCAAAUGAUAUAAGUGAAGCACAUAAAGCAUUCUAUAAAGCCAUGCUCAAAAGAUAUAAGUGACGUGCAAUGAGCAUUCUAUAAAUCAACCAUGGACUAUCUCAUACCAGCAUGGCGCAUAAAAGAAAAGUGAAAACUAAAUGCAAAAGGCGCUCCAACAUUUGCACAUAUCACAUGAACGAAACGAAUCCGAAAACAUACCGACACUUGUUGAAGAAAGAGGGGAUGCCUUCCAGGGCAUCCCCAAGCUUAGACACUUGAGUCUCCUUGAAUAUUUACUUGGGGUGCCUUGGGCAUCCCCAAGCUUGAGCUCUUGCCUCUCUUCCUUUUCCUCAUAUCGAGACCUCCUCGAUCAAACACUUCAUCCACACAAAACUUCAACAGAAAACUCGGUAAGAUCCGUUAGUAUAAUAAAGCAAAUCACUACUCUAAGUACUGUUGCAAACCAAUUCAUAUUUGGUUUUUGCAUUGUGUCUACUGUAAUAUAAUUUUUCCAUGGCUUAAUCCACUGAUAGAAAUUGAUAGUUUCAUCAAAACAAGUAAACUAUGCAUCAAAAACAGAAUCUGUCAAAAACAGAACAGUCUGUAGCAAUUUGAAUAUUAACCAUACUUCUGAUACCCCAAAAAUUCUACCAAAAUUAGGAAAAAUAAAAAAUUUGUACAGAAAUACAGUGCAAAAAGUUUAAGAACCGUUUGAUGUUCCAGUAAAAAAUGUAAAAUCGCGCACUACAGCCAAAGUUUCUGUCCUACACCGUACAAACCAACAAGCAUUGUAAACAUCCUAAAGGAAAACCUUAGCACAUUAUUUUUAUAAUACAAUUGAAUUUUACAAGGGGAUAAUUAUUUUUGUUGAAAAGUUUCUGUAAUCAAGAUUCACAAAGUUUCCGUGAGCAUGAACAAAGUUCAAGGAGCUCCCCCGCUUCAACAAUGCUUGUCUUUCUCACUUUCACUUUCCUUUUUGAAAAGUUUUGGGUUCCCCUCUUUCUUUUUAACUAUAUAAAAGAACUCAACAUAAAUAAAUGACUCUCUAAAACUUCCGGGUUGUCUCCUUGGCAGCGCUUUCUUUAAAGCCAUUAAGCUAGGCAUAUAGUGCUUAAGUAAUAGAUCCAUCCGGAUCCCAAGGUAUAUCAAAGCCAAUUUUAAUUAACAAUGAUUUGUGAUUUAGUAGUGAGCACAAAGUAACAUAUAUCAUGCAACAAUGAAGUCUAACUCUCUUCCUAUGCAUCGGCAUGUCAUAAAAUAACAAUUCAUGCACACCAAGUAAAGGCCAAUGCAUAGUAUAAGCGGUUUCUUGCAAUUUUAUCAUAUUUGAAACAUAGAGAGGUGGAGAUAUAGUUCCUAUCUCAUAAUAAUUGCAAGUAGGAGCAGCAACACAUGCAUAUUAUAUCUAUCAAAAUCAUCAUGUGCAACAGUAAAAUGCAACCCAUCAAUAUAAUCCUUAAUAAGGGCAGACUUCUCCGAUAUAGUAUAGUCGGGAGAAUUCAAAAAUAUAAUAGUACUAUCAUGCGUGGGUGCAAUAGCAACAAUUUCAUGUUUAACAUAAGGAACUAUAGCAAGUUCAUCUCCAUAAGCAUAAUUCAUAUUGGCAUCUUGGCCACAAGCAUAGCAAGCAUCAUCAAAAAGGGGUAUUUGAAAAGAAUCAACGGGAUCAUAACAAUCAUCAUAGCAAUCAUCCUUUGGUAAGCAUGAAGGGAAAUUAAACAAUGUAUGAGUUGAAGAGUUAUCUCAUUAGAAGGUGGGCACGGGUAGCUAAUCCGCUCUUCCUCCUUUUGUUCUUCGCUCUCCUCAUCAUCUUUUUCAUCCAAUGAGCUCAUAGUUUCAUUAAUUUCUUCUUCCAUAGACUCCUGCAAAAUAUUAGUCUCAUCUUGGACAGCGGAGACUUUCUCAAUAAACGCAUCAAUAUCGGAAUUAUAUUCAGAAUUCUCAUAGCAAUAAUUCAAUAUAGCAAAAAUUUCAGGCCUAUAAACAUCAUCAUCAAAAGCUUCAUACUUUUCAAACAAAGAUUCAAUUUCAUAAGCACCCUUAAAGGCAACAAAUUCUUCUAUUUGUUCCACAUCAUAGUAAUCAUAUAUACCAUUAGCAUAAGAAGCUAAGGUUUCAUUAUCAUUCAAUUUGCAUGAAAAGGGAAGGUGUGGAGCCUUCAUCCUAGAGCAACAAGUAUAAUCAUAUCUCAAGCAUAGUUGCUGAGCAUACCAAUGCAACAUAUAAAUUUGAUCCCAUAAUAGUUUCCCUUUUUGUGUCAAGCGAUAAUCCCUAAAGUAUUCACGUUGAUCCAAAGUGUCUCCCAUAACAUAAUUGAAUGGGGUUUUCUCAGGAUUAUCAAAGUAGUACAUAAUAUCUUUCACAUAAUGAGCAUCGAGGGUUUUAGGAGCUUCCCCAUCUCCAUGAGUAGCAAGUACACCUAAUUUUUUUGGUAUUUCGUGUUCCAUAUCCAUAACUAAAGAUAGAGAACAACUUAGAACAGUAAAUAAAAAUUACUUAGUGAUAAAGCAAACAAGCACACACGAGAAUAUUCACCCCACGCUAUGACUCCCCGGCAACGGCACCAGAAAAAUGUCUUGAUAACCCACAAGUAUAGGGGAUCAAUUGUAGCCUCUUUCGAUAAGUAAGAGUGUCGAACCCAAUGAGGAGCUAAAGGUAGAACAAAUAUUCCCUCAAGUUCUAUCGACCACCGAUACAACUCUACGCACGCUUAGUGUUCGCUUUACCUAGAACAGGUAUGAAACUAGAAGUACUUUGUAGGUGUGAAAGGAUAGGUUUGCAAGAUAAUAAAGAGCAUGUAAAUAAAAGCUAGGGCUGUUUAGGUAAAGAAGCAAUAAAGUAAAUAUAGCGAGUGUGGAAAAGUGGUGGUAGGAGUUGUGAAAUUGUCCCUAAGCAAUUGACUACUUUACUAGACCGAUAGCAAGUUUUUUGUGGGAGAGGCAUAAGCUAACAUACUUUCUCUUCUUGGAUCAUAUGCACUUAUGAUUGGAACUCUAGCAAGCAUCCACAACUACUAAAGAUCAUUAAGGUAAAACCCAACCAUAGCAUUAAAGCAUCAAGUCCCCUUUAUCCCAUACGCCACAACCCCCUUACUCGGGUUUAUGCUUCUGUCACUCAAGCAACCCACUAUAAGCGAAUCAUGAACGUAUUGCAACACCCUAUAGCGGGAAUCCCUCACGCUUGCGCGACACAGAGAGAACCAUAGGACAGCAACAUAACCAAAAGCAAAUUAAACCAAUCAUAGCAAUUCAUCAAUCACCGGUAGGACAACGAAAAUCUACUCAGACAUCAUAGGAUGGCAACACAUCAAUGGAUAAUAAUAUGAAGCAUAAAGCACCAUGUUCAAGUAGAGGGUACAGUGGGUUGUGGGAGAGUGGACCACUGAAUAUAGAUGGGGGAAGGUGAUGGAGAUGUUGGUGAAGAUGAUGGAGGUGUUAGUGUAGAUCGCUGUGAUGAUGAUGGCCCCCGGCAGCGUUCCGGCGCAACCGGAAGCAAGGGAGAGAGAGACCCCCUUCUUCUUCUUCUUCCUUGACCUUCUCCCUAGAUGGGAGAAGGAUUUCCCCUCUGGUCCUUGGUGUCCAUGGCAUGGGAGGUGUGAGAGCCCCUCCGAGAUUGGAUCUGUCUCUCUGUCUCUCUCUGUUUCUGCGCUCUGGGAUUCUGCCCUUUCACCGUUUCUUAUAUAUCUGGAGAUCCGUAACUCCGAUUGGAUUGAAACCUUUGCCAUGAUUUUUUUCCAAAAAUUAGCUUUCUUGCGGCCAAAGAAGAUCAGCAACCGCCUUACAGGGUGCCCACAAGGGUCAGGGGCGCGCCUGCCCCCCUGGGGCGCGCCCCCUGCCUCGUGGCCCCCUCGGGCACCGUCUCGCGUUUAUUUUUCUUCCCAAAAAAUCAUAAAUAUUCCAAAAAUAUUCUUCGUCUGUUUUUAUCCCGUUUGGACUCUGUUUGAUAUGGGGUUUCUGCGAAACAUAAAACAUGCAACAAACAGGAACUGGCACUCGGCACUUGAUCAAUAUGUUAGUCCCAAAAAUAGUAUAAAAAGUUGCGGAAAUUAUAUGAAAGUUGUAGAAUAUUGGCAUGGAACAAUCAAAAAUUAUAGAUACCAUGGAGACAUAUCAAUCUCCUAGAUAGAUCUUGCGUGAUCGUAGGAAAUGUUUUGAAAUUACUGUGUUCCCCAACAAGAUACCCUAUUAUUCCCGAAGAAAAUGAGCAAGAGUCUCCAAAAUUUCUUUGUUUGCAAUGAAAAAUAAAGUAUAUUAAGUAGCACAUCAGGUGGUCAUGCAAGAGCACAACUAUGCCGUUCCAAAUCGAUAUGUAAUAGGUCUACCUUUUUAGAACGACCAUAUCUCAUGAAACUCAAAAUUUGUCUCGCAAUACAAAGAUCACCAACAGUCAUCAUGCAUGGUGCUACUCUCUGAGCCUGCAUGUGAACCAACAUCAAAUUGGUAAGACAGAUAUUUCAGAUAGGAGGGUGUCGAAGGGGGGAAAUUAUGAAACAUGAGAUUGCAGAGAAGACCACUACCCACAUCUCCAAAAGUGAAGCCCUAUUUUCAUACAAGCAAUCGUGAUACUUAGAUUAAUCAUCACCACCACAAUUUUUCCUACAGGUAUAAACAAUAAAAAUACAAAACAGAAAAAUGAUCAUGUAUGGUCUACAGGCAUGAACAAGAAAAAUGAGCUGAUUAGUAUGGGAGGAAAGAGGAGGACCAUCGAGACAAACUGUUGUUAUUGGAGUUGCGACACCGCCGACGAGGAGAAGCGGACUAUGGGAUGAUGAGGACUUGGAAGUGGCGAGAAGCACGAGGCCGUCCCCUCCCCCCUCCUCUGGUGGCCCUUGGCCCAUCACCAGCCUUGUUGCUCCUUCCCUCACCUCCGUCCCCUGACUGGUCACCACCAUCUCCACUCCUUCCCCCACCUCUGUUCCUCACCACAACUGCACAGAUCCGACUACAGAUCGUCCUCUGCAACCUGGAGCAGCAGAUGAUGAGGCCGGCGGGACGUGGAAGAGGUGGGGCUUGCGGUAGUGGGAGGGGAUGGAUGAAGGAAAGGGCGGCGACGUGACGAGAAUCAAGGGAGAGUAGGCAACGACGCAGGAGGGGAUGAUGGUCGCGGUGACGCAAGGCUCGAGGACGGGAGGCGAUUGUGCUUCUGGGACAGCACGGGAGGGGAUUGGGCUUGGUUUCACCGCAGUCGCGAUUUUGCAUAGGACACUCUUUUGGACCCGAACCCACACUACAACGCCGGUUCACGAGGAAGGAUGGCCCAGCCAUCAUCCGCUCAAACCGAAACCCAUGUUGUGAAGUAAAAUAGAUGGUCAGAUGUUUGACAGAGAGUAGAAAAGGACCAAAAACUUUACAGUGAGGCAAAUUGAGUGAGCCAGAUUGCUUGCAUGACGCAAAUGCCCUAGGUGAGCGGUUAGCCUAGCUUGGUUUAUAGGUUAGAUAGCAUCAAACCCCUAUCAACUUCGUUCCGUGAAGAUUAAAUGGCUUAUUUUGGGACCCGCCGAUGCUAAGAAACAACGAUCUAAUGCUCCUGUUGGAAACUAGAGACUGUGUAAAUGUGAAUCGUUUCUUUUUUUCUUUUGAGGGAAAAUGUGAGUCAUUUCUAGUACAGAGUAUUGCCACACUACUCGUGAAUCUGGGACCAACAUCAAAUCUGUAUUUUUUAACCCAACAUAUGCCCUAUUAUUAAAAACUUUCAACUUCCAUCGUAUGUACAUACUUUCUCUCUAUCACAUUUGAAGCACAAAGGAUGAUAUUGUAUUCUGUGCAUGACGGUGGUGGAACAAGACAAACCAACUUUCACAACUGGAGUUAAAGGAUGAAAACAAAUACUCUUUGCAUUCAUAAUUCUCGUCGUGGUUUUAGUUCAAAUUCUAGUACAAAAUGAAGGACUGAACUUGCAUUGCAUUAUAAUAGCCUAAGAAUACUAUCAAUGAUUUCAUACGCUUCAGCUGCCUACACUUAAUUUUUUGCAAACCAAGCUCAAUUUAUUAUUCAUUCAGAACAAGUUUCAACUCAAAGCGAUUCUCUCACUCGGAGUAGUUUUCAUCACAAGGUUAAUGUCAUGAGUUUACUAAAGUUUGUACUUACCAAAGAUUUUAAUAAGUUGCUCGAUCCCCUAGGUUCCAUAAUAUUUGAGGAAUAUAAAAAAGAUACAGCGGGAAAUGUGGUAAAUAUAUUCCAAGCCAUAACAUUUGUUUUUAAAACAAUUAAGAAAGGUACAUACAAGUAUUCAAGCUCAAAGAUCUAUGAAGAAAUCUGAUUAUAAUAUAAAAAUAUGUUUUUUGCAUAUAUUAUCCAAGCAUGGAUAAUAAGUUCACAUGUAGCUUAUGCUUAAAACAAGCUUGUACCUCCUGUCUAAGAGCCAGUAAUCACAAGUGGAGACAGGAAGUAGAGUUUCAACCAGAAGAAAGAAUACUAACUAGUAGGAUUAGAAACUUAGAUAAUAGAAUAAAUAAACUAGAAGUGGAGCUAGAAAAACUAGAAGAUGGGUUAGAGAAUAGUAAAGAGCGAGAAGAUAAUGUUGCUAAAAGCACGAAGAUUAAUGAACAAAGGGUAACAAUAAGAGAUAGAAAUGCAGACAAAUUAAUACAAUUAAAAGAUGCAAUAACUAGUUUUGGAAAUAAAUAUAUCAUUUGAUUACCAUUCAAAUAAGUGCUAGCAUGAGGAUCCCAGUUAGAAUAGUUCUGAGGCCAAAUAUUUCCUAUAGAAUAUUGGUACUAUUAGAUACGAGUUGCACAAAAAACAUCAUCCAUGAUAAAUAUUUUGUGAGAUGUCCCUAAAUAAGUGAAACCAUAGAUUAUAAUAAAGCCGAAGUAUCUACUAGUAUAUCUGGAAUAAAGAAAAUCCAUAACCAAUUGGCAAAUAAUAUUGGAGCUUAUAUAAAUGGCACGAAAUAUAUAAUAGAUGAUAUUACAAUAAGAGAUUUGACAGUGAUAAAUGAUGAUAUGGUAAUAGGGUUAAGAUUUUUACAACAAUCUUCAAAAACUACGAUUAUACAUGGACAGGGGUUACAUUUAUUCCAUAUCAAGAUAAUUAUCCAUAAAUAUCUGAAGUAUGGAAACAAAGAAAGGCUUUACAAAAUGUACAAGUAUCUAAUUUAGAUGAUGAAUAUAGUUCAGAUCUCCUUGAUUUCUAGAAAGAAGAACUUAGUGAGACCAUAGAAGAAUAUCAUAUAGAAAAUACAUGUACAUAAUGUAUAGGGUUACUAUCAUUCUCGCCAAAUUGGUAUAGAGAUAUAAAUUCCAAAAAAUAUAUAGACAAGAUUGUGCAAAGACUAGAAAAUAUACAAAUUAUUGGGGAAAUACCAAUGAAAUAUUGGGAUAAUAACUCUAUAGUUUGCAAAACUAAUAUCAUAAACUCGGAUUAUAUAAUUAAGUCAAGACCAAUAGAAGCUACUUCUAAAGAGUUUGAAGAGUUCAAAAUGCAUAUUGAAGCAUUUCUAAAAUUAAAAGAAAUUACAAAAAGCAAAAGUCCUCAUCGGUCUGCUGCUUUUAUAGUUAGAAAUCAUGCUGAAGAGGUAAGAGGUAAAUCCAGAAUAGUAACUAAUUUUAAAAGGCUUAAUGCUAAUAUGAUAGAAGAUGCAUUCAAAUACCUAAUAAGUAGGAAUUGUUUAACAGAAUACAAAGAAGCAAUUAUUUCUCUAAAUUUGAUUUAAAAGCCUGAUUUUGGAAAGUAAAAAAUGGCUGAAGAAUCUAUCCCUUGGACAACAUUUACCUAUCCACAAGGCCAUUAUGAAUGUCUAGUGAUGCCAUUGGGCCUAAAGAAUGCUCGUGUGCUAUUUCAAAGGAAAAUGCAAAAUAUAUUUAAAGAGAAUUAAGCAUUUAUAUUUGUAUAUGUAGAUGAUUUAUUAGUAUUCUCAAAGUCAUACAAAAGGCAUAUAGCUCAUCUCGAAUUGUUCUUUCAGAAGGUAGAACAAAAUGGGCUUAUAUUAUCCAAAAAGAAGAUGAAAAUUUGCAAGGGAAAAAUAAAUUUCCUUAGUCAUGAAAUAGGAGGAGAAAAAUACAUUUACAAGAACAUAUUGCAAAGAAAAUAUUAUUGUUUCCUCACAAUAUGAGUGAUAAAAAGAUUUUACAACAAUUAGUAGGAAUUGUAAACUACGCAGGAAAUUAUAUAGAUAACUUAGCAAAGAUAGUCGUACCUUUAUAUGCUAAAUUAAGAAAAAAGUGGUCAAAGAUAUUUCAGUUCUGAAGAUAUAAAACUAGUAAAGGCCAUCGAGGAAAAAUUCAAGAAUUUUAAACCCCCUAGAACUUCCUUUAGAAAAUAAAUACUUUAUAGUUGAAAUAGAUGCAUCUAAGGUAGGAUAGGGACCUAUACUAAAACAAAAUCCUAAUAAAUAUUCCCCAAAAGCAGAAGAAAAAAUAUGAAGAUAUGCUUCAAGAAGGUAUAAAUUAGAGACAUUAAAUAUUAUUGAUAGGGAAAUCCUUGCAGUAGUAAAUGCAAUAAAUGCCUUUAGGCUAUAUCUAGGAUUCAAAGAAUUCAUAGUAAGGACGAACUAUGAAGCUAUAUGUCGAUAUUACAAUAAAAUUAAUAGUACGAAAAGCUCGACAAGAAAAUGGGUCUUAUUUGAAGAUACUAUGGCCGAGAAUGGAUAUAACGUAAUAUUUGAGCAUAUUAAGUGUAAAGAUCAUAGCUUACAUGACAUAUUUUCUCGCUCACAAAUUUUACAAAAAUAAAAGAAAGGGACACUCGGCGGUGAAAUGAAUGUCUUUAUAUUAGAAGAUGAUAAUGAAUUGAAACUAUUUCCACCAAAUACAUCCAAUAUCAAACCGAAGAGUCAUAUCCGUAUUGAUGAGAUCCAAGGAUGCUUAUUGGAUAAUCUUUGGUAUCGAUACAUAGUGAAGAGAGAAGAUAAAGGAUACAUGUUAUCUAAUCUCAAUAAAUAUUCCAAGGUGAGCAAAAAUUGAAGUAUAGAAAGAAGAACCUUUCUAGAUUACGUUUGAUGGAAGUAAACCAGGAAUAUCUAUGUCAUGGGAAGAAGUUCAAAUAGGGAAGUUUGCAGCAGAGCGAAGAAACGAAGAUCUAGCAUUAUAAAGAUAUGAUAAUAUCAAUGAUGCCUUGAAAUGGGUAACGUACAUAAUAUGACAAGAUUAUUAUAUUGACCCAAAGGCUGAAGAAUAUAUCCAGAAGCAAAGAGGCAUAGAUAAAAAUAUACCCGCUUCAGCAACUCCUACAAAGGGAGAAGCAUCAAGCUCGAAGACUAUAAAGAGGAAUAAUCCCCAAAAUAUCAUACAUAUCAAGAAUGCCUUCUAAAAGGAAUUGACCCUCUAGGUAGUGAAUACAUAGAUCAAGAAUUGGAUAAAAGAUUUGCAGAAUUGUCAACAGUAAUAAAGAAAGAAUAAAAGAGGAAAUCCUAUAAGAAUUAAGACAAGAAAUAGAUGAAAAUGUUAAAGAAAUAAAGAAAGAAUGUGAUAGCAAAUAUGAUUUCCAUCUGUCUGAUGAAGAUCACAUGGACAUAUCUGGGCAUAGGCAGCGUGUUGAAUAGAAGUCCAUAUACCUAAAUUGAUAUUACUAUCAAUUAUUCCAGCGUGAAGGACCUAUACCCAAAUAUUGAUAAAAUAAGAACACUGAUAAAGUAUUAUCAAUAAUAUGGGUGGGGUAGGCCCAUACAAAAAAACUACAUCACAAAUAUUUCUGCAAAAAGCAAGCAUGAUUCGCAUCAGGAAAGGUUAAGGAGAGGAGUUAAACUUAAUUCAUCAAUUAACACAAGGGCCAUCAUACAAGUUCAAAUAUUGAGCCAUGCAUUGAUGCCUUAUAUUAUACUACAAGGCAUACAAUGGUGCAUGCAAGGACUGGCAUUAAAAAUCAUGGCGAGAGCUGCGAUGAAGAGAAGAGCUUCAGUCUGGACAAAGUUCUCAGUCUAGACAAAGUUCUCGGUCUAAUAGCAUAUUAACCUAAUUAAAAUCUGAUAGAAUAUUUAUUAAUUUAAAUAAUUAUCCCUAUAUUGUUUUAGGCUAAUGCGCAAUUAGACUAAUAUUCUACUCACUCUCUAAUAUUUAAUUCUUUGUCUAGACUGAGAACUUUGUCCAAACUAAAUCUUUUAUCUCCAUCGCAGCUAUCGCCAUGAUUUUUAAUGCCAAUCCUUGCAUGAACCAUUGUAUGCCUUGAAGUAUAAUAUAAGGCAUCCAUGCAUGGCUCAAUAUUUUAACUUGGAUGAAGGCCCUUGUGCUAAUUGAGGAGUUUAGCUUAACUCCUCUCCUUAACAUUUCCUGAUGUAGAUGAUGCUUGCUUCUUCCAGAAAUAUGCAUGAUGUAGUUUUUUGUAUGGACCUACCUCGCCCAUAUUAUUGAUAAUACUUUAUCAAUAUUCGGGUAUAGGUCCUUUGCGCCAGAAUAAUUGAUAACAAUACCAAUUUAGGUACAUGGACUUCUAUUCAACACGCUACCCAUGCCUAGCUAUGUCCACGUGAUCAUCAUCAGACAGAUGGAAAUCGUAUUUGCUAUCACAUUCUUUCUUUAUUUCUUCAAAAUAUUCAUCUAUUUCUUGUCUUAAUUCUUUUAAGAUUUCCUCUUUUAAUUCUUUAUUUAUUACUUUUUAUAUUUCUUCAAGUCUCUUAUCCAAUUCGUGAUCUAUGUAUUCACUACCUAGAGGGUCAAUUCCCUUUAGAAGGCAUUCUUGAUAUGUAUGAUAUUUUGGGGAUUCUUCCUUCUUUAUAAUGUUCGAGCUUGAUGUUUUCUCCCUUUGUAGGAGUUGCUGAAGUGGGUAUAUUUUUAUCUAUGCCUCUUCGCUUCUAUGUAGCGACCAGACCUCAAACAGUCUAGUCUCUGUGCAUCAGUGUCAUCCCUAGAUCGGUAAUGCUGACACACACACACAGUACUUGAGGAUUUAUAACAGAGUUGCAAUCACACACUUAUUACAUCGAAUGUCUCAAAAGAUAACUUAUUACAAUAUGGCUUAAGGCCAUCUAAAUAAGAUAACAGCAGAAGGUUUGGAAGAUAAAGUGAGUCCAUCAACUCCAACAGCAUAGCUGAGUGAACGACAACGACCUAUGGCACCUUACUCGUCGUCUGGAAAGUCUGCAACAUGAUAUGUUGCAGCCUGAAAUGGGUCAGCACAUGGAAUAUGCUGGCAAUGUAACACAUAAUGAACAGAUAAAUGCUAUCACUACAUGCAUAUAUGGCUGGUGGAAAGCUCUAAGGCUACAGUUUGUGCAUAAAGCCAAUUUUUUCCUACAACAAAGGAAUAAAUUUUAUUUAACUAUCAUGGUGGUUGUUAAACAUUGAGAAGGUUCCUCCAACUCAAUCCCAAUUAAACAUCAACAUUAACCCAAUCAAAUUAAAUUAGAGUGAUGAGAUCAACAUGAUAAUCCAAGAACCAGGUACUCAAGAUGUCCAUAACCGGGGACACGACUAAUCAUGAUUAGUUUGUACACUCUGCAGAGGUUUGUGCACUUUUCCCCACAUGACUCGAACACAUCCAUGAUCGGAGGAUCGAUACAUAGCCUUUUUGAAGCAUUAACUCUCUACUCUGGGUAGACAGUACCACCUACAACCCUCUACAUCCGCUAGUCUACCUCUUCAAGAGCUCACGCAACUUACUCAACUAUGCCAGAGCCCAUAUUGGCUUGUGGCUGCACACGAAAGUUUCCAGCAUGAAAAUAAUCUUAUGAUCCUUUUGAGCCUGGGUGGCGAACCGUAGGAUGAUCACACGGGUACUCCGGGAUAUCCUAGGACAACACUGGAUUCUCCAGGUGCCCCGACAACCACUGGGUACUCCAGGGUGCCUCCACCAAUCCACCCAGAUGUGUAUUUAAGUAGCCACCUUAAGUUAACCAUUAAUUAACAAUACUCACAUCUGUCAUGGAUACACUCACCCAAACCGCGUCUAUGAGCAUAGCAUAGUAAUCCUGAGCAUAACAUAGAAGAAACUCCCAAAGGUUUGAUAAUAAAAGGGCAAUAGGUUCUACCUCAUCAUCUACUUCCCAAACCCACAUGUUAAACAGAUCCUAACCAUGCAAUGUUUGAGGGUUGUAACUAAUGCAUAAAAAUUGGGUAAUAAAGGGAUAUGAUCAAAGUGUUACUUGCCUUGUUGAUGAUCUGCAAAACCUAGGGACUCGUAGUAGCACGCUUCGCACUCCGGGUGUUCUAUCGUAAACAAACAAUAACAUAUAAUGAGCACUCAACUAGAAACAUGGGUAAAACUCAAAUAAUAAGAUCUAACCAGAAAGUUCAAUUGAAGAACUCCGCUUUGCAAAAAGAAUCAAAUCAAACGGAGCAACGAAACUCAAACUACGAAAGAAACAAGAUCCAUUUACUAAUCUGGACUAAAGUAACAUUUACUGUAGCAAAAUCUUGUCCAAGUUGGUUAAACAGAAAGAGGGCUUCAAGACGAAGAUCUAGGCGCUUGUUUCACCUGAUUCCGAUAAACGAGCGAAAAGAUAAACUAAAACGAAGAUCAGCGCAGAAAUCGCGAUCGAAAAUAAUCGCGGAAAAACCCUGGAAAAAGAAAAACAAACGAACAGGCUAACGAACGAACGUUCGUUGUCUGCGGCUAACUGACGAACAGCGUUCAUUAACGAACGUACGGGUGAACGUCCUCUAGUUAACUUAACUGAAAAAACCGAACCGAUGUGAAAAACAGAUCUAGGGUUUCAAAAAAACAAUCGGUUUUUUCGGGAAAACCAUAAGGCGGCGGCGGCGGCGGCUACCUCGACGGUAGCGGGAUCGGCGGCGGGUUGCAACUCCGGCGGCUCCGGCGANNNNNNNNNNNNNNNNNNNNNNNNNNNNNNNNNNNNNNNNNNNNNNNNNNNNNNNNNNNNNNNNNNNNNNNNNNNNNNNNNNNNNNNNNNNNNNNNNNNNNNNNNNNNNNNNNNNNNNNNNNNNNNNNNNNNNNNNNNNNNNNNNNNNNNNNNNNNNNNNNNNNNNNNNNNNNNNNNNNNNNNNNNNNNNNNNNNNNNNNNNNNNNNNNNNNNNNNNNNNNNNNNNNNNNNNNNNNNNCGGCGGCGGCGGAACGGCGGUGGCGGCGGCUUCACGCGAUGGCAGCGACGGCACUAGGGUUGGCGCGGCGGCGGGGCUAGGCUGGCGGCGGGGUUGGGCCGCGGCUUUUAAAGGGCCGGCCGGGCGCAGUGUCCAGGUCGGACGCGGCCCAUUAAGUUGGUUCAACUUUUAUUUAAAAAAAAUCCUGAUGCGGAAAAACAAAUGAAAGAAAUACUAAACGGAGUCCAAAAAUCCUGAAAUAAAUUUUCCGGGUCCUGUAAUAAUAUUGCGGACAAAGUGAACAUUUAUUUGGGCCUCUAACGCAAUUUUGAAAAACGCACUUUUUUUCCUAAUUCAAAUAAGAUAGCAAUAAAAGUCCAAAUAAAAAUCUUAUUUGAUUUUUUAAUAUUUUUCCUCCAAUAUUUCUUUUAUUUUGCAGAAGUCAUUUUAUCUCCUCUCUUUCAUUUUAACAUUGGAAAUAUUCGGAGAGAAAAAUGAUUAAAACCAAAUGAUCCUCUUUUCAAAAUUUGAGAAAACUCAAAUAUGAAAAAUAAACAAAAUCCCCAACUCUCUCUGAGGGUCCUUGAGUUGCUUAAAAUUUCUAGGAUCAACCAAAAUGCAAUAAAGUAUGAUAUGCAAUGAUGAUCUAUGUAUAACAUUCCAAAUUGGAAAUUUGGGAUGUUACAAACCUACCCCCCUUAAGAUGAAUCUCGCCCUCGAGAUUCGGGUUGGCUAGAAAAUAGGUGUGGGUGGUCCUUCCAUAGGUCUUCCUCUCGUUCCCAAGUGGCUUCCUCCUCGGUAUGGUGGCUCCACUGAACUUUGCAAAACUUGAUAACCUUGCUGCGGGUGACUCGGCUGGCAAACUCAAGAAUCUUCACUGGUUUCUCCAUAUAAGUCAGAUCGCUAUCCAGCUAAAUCGCUUCCAGUGGCACUGUAUCUCUUAGAGGAAAAUCCUGACAAUCAUUCUGGUAAUUCCAGCUUGUAAGAAACUUCUCCCAUACGUUCCAAAACUUUGUAUGGUCCCACAAAACGUGGUGCUAACUUUCCCUUAACUCCAGAAUGCUUAACUCCUCAAAGUGGGGACACACAAAGAUAUACUCUGUCUCCUACUUCAUAAACUGCCUCCUUGCAUUUAGAAUCCGCAUAGCUCUUCUGCCUGGAUUGGGCAACCUUGAGUCGGUCGCGAAUCAACUUAACCUUCUCUUCAGACUCCUUAAUCAAAUCUGGUCCAAACAACUGACGAUCUCCAACUUCAUCCCAUAGUAACGGUGUCCUGCACCUCCUUCCCUACAAGGCUUCGAAAGGGUCCAUCUUCAAACUGGCUUGAUAGUUGUUGUUGUAAGAGAACUCUGCAUACGGUAAAUUGUCGUCCCAACAAGAUCCAUAAUCUAGCGCACAAGCUCUCAACAUGUCCUCCAGAAUCUGAUUAACUCUCUCGGUCUGUCCAUCUGUCUGUGGAUGAAAGGUUGUACUAAACUCUAGCCUAGUACCCAAAGUCUCAUGCAACUGAUUCCAGAACUUUGAGGUAAACUGGGUUCCUCUGUCAGAAACAAUGGUCCUCGGAACUCCAUGCAGACAUACGAUCCUGGUCAUGUAUAUCUUUGCCAACUUAGCACUGGUAUAAGUGGUCUUCACUGGGAUGAAAUGAGAUACUUUCGUCAAUUGAUCGACUAUAACCCAUAUCGAUUCAUAGCCUGAACGAGUCCUAGGCAAUCCCGUGAUUAAAUCCAUGCCAAGCUUGUCCCACUUCCAUUCAGGUAUCGGCAAUGGCUGUAGCAAACUUGCUGGCUUCUGAUGCUCUGUCUUCACUCUCUGACAUACAUCACAUACUGCUACAUACUCAGCAAUAUCUUUCUUCAUCCCUGUCCACCAAAAACUUUUCUUCAAAUCCAAAUACAUCUUAGUAUUUUUGGGGUGAAUCGAAUACGGUGAAUCAUGGGCCUCCUGCAGAAUCAACUUCUUGAUCUCGGGGUCAUUAGGCACAUAUAUGCGAUCCUCAAACCAUAAAGUAUCAUGCUCAUCCUCAUGAAAUCCUUUAGCCUUGGCUUUGCUCAUCCUUUCCUUUAUCUCAGCAAUCUCCUUGUCAGUCUUCUGGGCUUCUCUGAUCUUAUCCAUCAAAGUAGACUGAAUUUCCAAUGCUGCUACAUAACCUCUCGGAACUAUUUCCAAACAUAGCUCGCGAAGCUCCUCUGCUAACUCCUUAGGUAAUCCUCCGGUCAUGAGCGUAUUAACAUAGCUCUUACGACUCAACGCAUCGGCUACUACGUUAGCCUUUCCGGGAUGAUAAUGCAACUUCAUAUCAUAAUCCUUCAUGAGCUCCAACCAUCUCCUUUGUCUGAGAUUCAACUCCUUCUGCGUGAAGAUAUACUUCAAACUCUUGUGAUCCAUGUAUACCUCACAGUGGUUUCCGAUUAGGAAAUGUCUCCAUGUCUUCAACGCAUGCACUACGGCUACUAACGCCAAAUCCUGUGUAGCAUAAUUUUGCUCAUGAGGUUUAAGCUGUCGUGAGGCAUAUGAAACAACUCUUCCCUCCUGCAUAAGAACUGCUCCAAGUCCUUGACGUGAAGCAUCGCAAUACACUUGAUAGUCCUUACGUUGGUCUGGAAGAAUCCGCACUGGGGCUGUAACCAAAUGUUUCUUCAACUCCUGAAAACUGGCUUCACAUUCCUCAGUCCAUUUGAACUUGGUGUCCUUCUUCAACAACUCUGUCAUGGGCUUUGCAAUGUUGGAGAAAUUCUCAAUGAACCUCCGGUAAUAUCCUGCGAGUCCAAGAAAACUCCUGAUUUCUCCAACUGACAUGGGUGCUACCCAUUUAGUCACAGAAACUACCUUGGUGGGGUCUACUGCUAUUCCUUCUCCGGAUAUAACAUGUCCGAGAAAUCCAACUUCCUUCAACCAAAAUUCACACUUGCUGAACUUGGCAUACAACUGAUGUUCUCUGAGCUUCUCAAGAACCAAACGCAAAUGCUCCUUAUGCUCCUCUUCAUUCUUCGAGUAGACAAAUAUCAUCAAUGAACACAACGACGAACUUUGUCAAAAACUCCAUAAACACCUUGUUCAUCAUGUUCAUGAAAUAGGCAGGCGCAUUAGUCAGACCAAAUGACAUAACGGUAUACUCAUAUAGCCCGUACCUGGUGGUAAAAGUUGUCUUAGGUAUAUCCUGCUCUCGAAUCUUCAGCUGAUGGUAUCCUGAUCGUAGAUCGAUCUUGGAAAAUACCUUAGCUCCUUGCAACUGGUCAAACAAAUCAUUGAUCAUAGGCAGUGGGUACUUGUUCUUGAUCGUCACUUCAUUCAACGCACGAUAAUCAACAACCAUCCUUAACGAUCCAUCCUUCUUCUCCACUAGAAGUACUAGACAUCCCUAAGGUGAUGAGCUUGGUCGAAUGUACCCUUUAUCUAGUAACUCCUUAAUAUGUUUCUUAAUUUCCUCCAAAUCCUUUGCGGGAAUCCGGUAUGGUCUCUUUGAUAUCGGCCCGGUGCCUGGCAAAAGCUCAAUCAAAAACUCAAUGUCUCUAUCCGGUGGCAUGCCUGGCAACUCCUUUGGAAAUACAUCAGGGAAAUCCUUCACCACUGGUACUUCCUCCUGUACAACUCCUGAUAAGGAAUUCACUUGAGUCCUCUUCGGCACAUGCCGGGAUACAUACUGGCGCAGUCAAUGUUCCCUCCAUACUUUGAUAACCAAUCCAUGCCUAAUAUUACAUCCAAUCCUUGUGACUCCAAUACUAUUAGGUCUGAGGGAAACACGUAGUUACCAAUCCUGAAUGGUAACCGAUCACACCAUAGGCUGACCAUUUACUCUGCUCCUGGUGAGGUUACUAGCAUGGGUGACCUAAGGGCUUGGGUUGGCAGGUGAUACUUAUCCACAAAUCCCCUUGAUAUCUAUGAAUGCGAUGCACCAGUAUCAAAAAAACAAUUGCAGUAAAUGACUUAACCAAAAACUUACCUAUAACUGCAUCUGGCUGCUCUUCAACCUCCUCCACGCUAACGUGGUUCACUUACCCCCUGUUGAAAGGGUUGGGCUUCUUCCCAGAGCCUCCAUUUCCAUUUCCAUUCUUUGCUUCAAAACACUCCAUGGCGUAAUGUCCAUUCUUCCCACACUUGAAACAAGUAAUGUGACUUAGAUCCUUCUUGGCGGGCGUUGCUGGGUUGGAACGGUUCUGGCCGUUGCUUCCUCCAUUCACAUUCCCAUUCUUGGGGCCACUAUGGUUAUGCGAACUUCCUCCAUUGGAAUUAUGGCCUCCAUGGUUAUGGUGAAUGUGUUCUCCCGAGUUCGGGGUAAAACGGGGCCUCUGCUGAGCUCCUGAAUUGUACAUCCCUUGUCCAUACUUCCUCUUGCGGAUGUCUAUCUGAUUCUGCUUCCCUUCAAUCAUGAGAGCUCUAUCUACCAACUCCUGGUAGUUGUUGAAGGUUUCCACCAUCAACUGCAUGCUUAGCUCAUCAUUCAGUCCUUCCAGAAACUUCUCCUUCUUAGCGGCAUCUGUAGCUACAUCAUCAGGGGCAUAACGUGCUAACUUACUAAACUCAUCCACAUACUGGCCCACUGUGCGUCCUCCUUGGGGCAAGUUGCGAAACUCGCGCUUCUUCAUGGCCAUAGCUCCUGCUGAAACAUGGGCAGUGCGCAACUGUUGAAACCGAUCCCAUGUAACAGUGUCAAUGGGUAGGUGGCCUUGAAAUUCUCCCACGAUGAUGUUGUGGGUCCAUCAAGCUAGUGUGCGGCAAAAUGCACUCUCUCCGCAUCUGUGCAUCCUGUAGUGGUCAGCUCCCUUCCAAUCUUGCAGAGCCAAUCAUCUGCAACAAUCGGCUCGGUGCUGCUAGAGACACCGGCGGAUUUAGCCUUAGAAAACGGGCUAAGUGAUCAACAGGUGGUGGUGGUGGUGGGUUGUUGUUGUUGUUGUUGUUCCCUUGGUUCUGAUUCUGAACUAAUAGCUGCAUCAAGGUAUUCUGCUGCUGGAUCAACUGAAUGAGCUCUGGUGGGAAAGAAAAUCCAUUGUCACGUCUCGGAGGCAUCUGAUGGGUUUAGAAAAGAUGAGGAACAGAAUAGAAUGAGGUCUAAAGGGAAAACACUACCCAUAUGUACAUGAGACAAACACAAUCAUAUCACUUCAAUCAAUUCAAACAAGGGCAUACAGUCGGUCUAACUAUCGUUACAAAAGUGCUUGGACUGUACUAUAUACAUGGGGGAAUACUACUACUGAUAUGGUGGUCAACUAGAAGUUUUAAUCUGUAGAAGACUCCAUGAUAUCCGCUCCAGCUUCAUCAACAUAGUCAUCAUCGCUGUCGUCGAGGUCUGAGUCGGUGUCGCAGAUGAUGAUGUAGUCCUCCGAACGAAUGUCCUUGGAAUCGUCGUCAUCUCCUCCUAUCGCGGGGUCUCCCAUGAAUACUCCUAGUUUCCUUGUUAGAUCGUUAUUCUUCUCCACUAGUAUCGUCAUUUCCACUUCAUAUCCAUCGCGUGUGGACUUGAGUUCUUCCUCUAGCUCCGUGAUCCUGGUCAUUGCCUUCUUCAGCUCUAUCAUGCCUGCGCACAUCUGGUUCUCCUGGCGACGAAUCUGCUGGUUUAACUCUUGGAUGAAAGUUGCAAUGGACCUGUCCCUCCUGGUGUUGAUCAUCUCCCAUUGCUCAUCUCGGCUCCCACAUAUCUUGUAGAUAGUAUCCUUAAGAUCCUUGUGGUAGACUUCUCCAAUGUGUCCCAUGGUGAUGUGGGCUGCCAUGCCCUUUCCUAGACUCUGGGUUGGUGCAUCAAAGGAAAACUCUAUGGGCUCGGUGACUGGCAUGAACGUCCUUCCUGGAACUUGAACUCGAAUCAUCCAAUGUUCCUCUUCUGGUAAGGUGGUGAUGUAGGUCCCGGUGAAGCUUGGUAUUCCGAUGUUCAGGUACCUAGUGACUUCCUUCAGGUGCCGUCCAAAAGGUGUAUCUUCAUCCGGUUGUGUAAACUUGUUCCUUGAGUCCGCCAUCCUAUAGAGUAGAAAAGGGAGAGGAGUCAGAAAUGAGUAGAGAAGAGUGACCUAUGGUUUUAGCUUAGUGGUGGUGCCCUACAGUCAGCGUGUGCUCUCACACCAUCUUGUAGCGACCAGGCCUCAAACAGUCUAGUCUCUGUGCAUCAGUGUCAACCCUGGAUCGGUAAUUGUGGCACGCAUAGUACUUGAGGAUUUAUAACAGAGUUGCAAUCACACACUUAUUACAUCGAAUGUCUCAAAAGAGAACUUAUUACAAUAAUAUGGCUUAAGGCCAUCUAAAUAAGAUAACAGCGGAAGGUUUGGAAGCUAAAGUGAGUCCAUCAACUCCAACAGCAUAGCUGAGUGAACGACAACGACCUAUGGCACCUUACUCGUCGUCUGGAAAGUCUGUAACAUGAUAUGUUGCAGCCCGAAAUGGGUCAGCACAUGGAAUAUGUUGGCAAUGUAAUACAUAGAGUAAUGAACAGAUAAAUGAUAUCACUACAUGCAUAUAUGGCUGGUGGAAAGCUCUAAGGCUACAGUUUGUGCAUAAAGCCAAUUUUUUCCUACAACAUAGGGAAUAAAUUUUAUUUAACUAUCAUGGUGGUUGUUAAACAUUGAGAAGGUUCCUCCAACUCAAUCCCAAUUAAACAUCAACAUUAACCCAAUCAAAUUAAAUUAGAGUGAUGAGAUCAACAUGAUAAUCCAAGAACCAGGUACUCAAGAUGUUCCAUAACCAGGGACAAGGCUAAUCAUGAUUAGUUUGUACACUCUGCAGAGGUUUGUGCACUUUUCCCCCACAAGACUCGAACACAUCCAUGAUCGGAGGAUCGAGACAUAGCCUUUCUGAAGCAUUAACUCUCUACUCUGGGUAGACAGUACCACCUACAACCCACCACAUCUACUAGUCUACCUCUUCAAGAGCUCACGCAACUUACUCAACUAUGCCAGAGCCCAUAUUGGCUUGUGGUUUGAUGACCCACAAGUGUAGGGGAUCUAUCAUAGUCCUUUCGAUAAGUAAGAGUGUCGAACCCAAUGAGGAGCAGAAGGAAAUGAUAAGCGGUUUUCAGUAAGGUUUUCUCUGCAAGCACUGAAAUAGUAGGUGAUAGAUAGUUUUGUGAUAAGAUAAAUAGUAACGAGCAAAAAGUAAAUGAAGUAAAUAAAGUGCAGCAAGGUGGCCCAAUCCUUUAUGUAGCAAAGGAUAAGCCUGGACAAAUUCCAAUAAUGAGGAAGGAUCUCCCGAGGACACAUUGGGAAUUAUCGUCAAGCUAGUUUCAUCACGUUCGUAAGAUUCGCGUUCGGUACUUUGAUAAUUUGAUAUGUGGGUGGAUCGGCACUUGGGUACUGCCCUAACAUGGACAAGCAUCCCACUUAUGAUUAACCCCUAUUGCAAGCAUCCACAACUACAAAAAGGAGUAUUAAGAUAAACCUAACCACAGCAUUAAACAUAUGGGUCCAUAUCAACCCCUAAUGAAGCAACGCAUAAACUAGGGUUUAAGCAUCUGUCACUCUAGCAACCUAUCAUCCACUUAUUACUUCCCUAUGCCUUCCUCUAGGCCCAAAUAAUGGUGAAGUGUCAUGUAGUCGACGUUCACAUAACACCACUAGAGGAAAGACAACAUACAUCUCAUCAAAAUAUCGAACGAAUACCAAAUUCACAUGACUACUAAUAGCAAGACUUCACCCAUGUCCUCAGGAACAAACGUAACUACUCACAAAGCAUAUUCAUGUUCAUAAUCAGAGGGGUAAUAAUAUGCAUAAAGGAUCUGAACAUAUGAUCUUCCACCAAGUAAACCAAAUAGCAUCAACUACAAGGAGUAAUCAACACUACUACCAACCCACGGGUACCAAUUUGUGGUUUUGAUACAAGAUUUGAUAGAAGAGAUGAACUAGGGUUUUGAGAUAAGAUGGUGCUGGUAAAGAUGUUGAUGGAGAUUGACCCCCUCUCGAUGAGAGGAUCGUUGGUGAUGAUUUCCCCCUACUGGAGGGAAGUGUUCCCAGCAGAACAGCUCCGCCAGAGCCCUAGAUUGAUUCCGCCAAGGUUCCGCCUCGUGGCGGCGGAGUUUCGUCUUGUAAGCUUGCCCAUGAAUUUUUCCAGGACAAAACCCUUCAUAUAGCAGAAGAUGGGCGCCGAAGGCCCACGAGGGGGCCCAGGAGAUAGGGGGUCGCGCCCUAGGGGGGGCUGUCUCCUGGACAGGGUGUGGGCCCCCUGGCCUAUUUCUUUUGCUCAUAAUUUCUUAAUAAAUUCAAAAAGUUGUUUCGUGGAGUCUCAGGUCUUUUGGAGUUGUGUAGAAUAGGUUUCCAACGUUUGCUCCUUUUCCAGCCAGAAUUCCAGCUGCCGGCAUCCCCCCUCUUCAUGGUAAACCUUGUAAAAUAAGAGAGAAUAGCCAUAAGUAUUGAGAUAUAAUGUGUAAUAACAGCCCAUAAUGCAAUAAAUAUUGAAAUAAAAGCAUGAUGCAAAAUGGACGUAUCAACUCCCCCAAACAUAGACAUCGCUUGUCCUCAAGCGGAAGCCGAAAUCGAAAAAUAUGUCCGCAUGUUUAGAGAUAGAGGUGUCGAUAAAAAUAAAAUACGGACAUGAGGGCAUCAUGAUCAUUCUAAUAACAGCAACAUAUAUGGAUUUUGUCAUAUGAUUUCCUAUGUUCAAGUAAUAAGCAAUUCACAAUGUCAAGUAUGGUUCAAAAACUUCAUUGGGAACAGACAAACUAUAAUCUCAGUCAUUGAAGCAAUUGCAAUUUAUCGUAACAUCAGAAAGAGUCAAUAAUAGAGCUUUUCAGCAAGCUCACAUACUCAACUAUAUCGUAGUCCCCCAUAAUUGUUAACACUCACGCAAUACUUGUGGUUAUAGAGUUUCAACCGGACACUGAGAAAGAUAGGGGCUUCUUGUGUUGCCUCCCAACAUAUUCACCUUUAGGUGAUGUCAACAAUAAUAGCCUAUGCCAACUUACAUCCAAUUGGAUAUAUAUAUAUAUAUAUCAUGAUCUUUCAAACACGAAGAGCUUUCCAAAGGAUAAAAUGAAAAGGGAAAGGUGAGGAUCACCUUGACUCAAGCAUAAAGUAAAAACAUAAAGUAAAAGAUAGGCCCUUCGCAGAGGGAAGCAGAGGUUGUCAUGCGCUUUUAGGGUUGGAUACACAAAAUCUUAAUGCAAAAGAACGUCACUUUAUAUUGCCCCUUGUAUGUGGACCUUUAUUAUGCAAUCCGUCGCUUUUAUUACUUCCACAACAAGUUCGUACAAAGCUUAUUUUCUCUACACUAAUAAGUCAUGCAUAUUUAGAGAGCAAUUUUUAUUGCUUGCACCGAUGACAACUUACUUGAAGGAUCUUACUCAAUCUAUAGGUAGGUAUGGUGGACUCUCAUGGCAAAACUGGGUUUAAGGAUAUUUGGAAGCACAAGUAGUAUCUCUACUUGGUGCGAGGAGUUUUGGCUAGCAUGAGGGGGAAAGGCAAGCUCAAGAUGUUUGGAAGGUCAAUGACAAUAUACUUUAACUGAGAUGUCGGAAAACAUAAACCAUUACGUUGUCUUCCUUGUCCAACGUCAACUCUUUUAGCAUGUCAUACUUAAUGAGUGCUUCACAAUCAUAAAAGAUGUCCAAAAUAAUAUAUGUGAACCCCUCUUUCCUUAUCACUUCCUAUUAAUUGCAACGAUGACCAAGGCUACGUUUAUCAACUCUCAACAAUUUUUAUGCCUCAUACUUUCUAUGUGUGAAGUUAUCACUAUCCACAAGAUCAAUAUGAACUCUUUUGUUCUUUCUACUUUCAAGACCAUAGCAACAUAGCAAAGCCCUUGACUCAACACUAAUCUUUAUUAUAGAUAGCACACGGACUCAAUUACAUAAAGAGAUCACAACGAAAAACUCAAAACUACUUGAUAUCAAAACUUCAAUCUACUAGAUCAAGAUACUACUAAAAGGAUCGAACUAAAUAAAACGGUAAAGAAAGGAGUGUGAUGGUGAUACGAUACCGGGGCACCUCCCCCAAGCUUGGCAGUUGCCAAGGGGAGUGCCCAUACCCAUGUGAUUAUUUCUUUGGAGGUGGUGAAGUAGGAGUUGUUGAUGAAGUAGGCUUGUCAUCCGUCUUCCAAGGCAUAGGCUCUCCAUCAUAAAAGGAUGAUCGAGUCUCUGGGAUCCUUAAAUCUGCAGCCAAACUCAUUCGCUUGAAUCUAUAUUCAUACUCACAGUUCUGGUUUUGCAGGUCAUAAAUCUGGGCUUGGAGGUGCUGGAUUUUCUCUUGAAGCUUGAAGUUGUUCUCCCCAAUGACUUUGACAUCCAGCUUGUGCUUGUUGGUGAACUCCGUGAUCAUCAUCUGGUUGGCGUUGAGUCCAUGCUCCACCAUCCCUUGACACUUGAAAACUUCUUGUUCCAUGGCUUCGAGCUUUGUCUCCAUGCUCUCGGUACGCCUUGGUCCUUCCACAUCGCGGAUGUGCAACACCUCCUCACGCAUCUCAAUGGUUUGAGGGUGAUGCAGCACCUCCGCAAGAUAGGGGUUGAUAACCCUCUCGAAAAACUUGUCCUUGGGAGCGCUUGAAGACGACAUGAUGCUCUAGAUCUGAAACAGAAACAGCUCGAAACGAAAACAGAGGAUACUUGCGUGAUACGGUGGUCAAAACCUUCGGGAGUAUAUAUAAUGAAGUUUUGCCGACCAAAAUACGUAACAUACAAGAAAACGGAGUCCGGGAGGCACACGAGGUGCCCACGAGACAAGGGAGCGCGCCCUACAGGGGGGGCGCCCUCCUCUCUCGUGGGAGCCUCGUGUCCCUUUCGGACUACUUCUUUUUUCCUAAAAUCCUUAAAUAAUCCAAAACUGAUGAAAAUUUCCAUUAGAGUUGUUUUGGAGUCGGUUUACUUACCGUACCACGUACCUAUGCCUUUUCGGAGUCUGGAAUGUUCUGGAAAGUGUCUCUUAUAUAUUCCUCAAGGGUUAUGGUUUCAAUAAUAUUAGUUUCAAUAUUGAUAGGAUUACCUGAAAUAUAAUGUUUAAUUCUUUGACCGUUUACCACCCUCGGAUUUGUGCCUUCAAAGUUGUUGAUUUUUACAGCACCAGAACGAUAGACCUCCUCGAUAACGUAGGGGCCUUCCCAUUUUGAGAGAAGUUUUCCUGCAAAAAAUAUUAAACGAGAGUUGAACAAUAACACAUAAUCUCCUACGUUAAACUCGCACUUUUGUAUCCUUUUAUCAUGCCAGCGUUUGACUUUUUCUUUGAAAAGCUUAGCAUUCUCAUAUGCUUGGGUUCUCCAUUCAUCAAGUGAGCUAAUAUCAAAUAACCUUUUCUCACCGGCAAGUUUGAAGUCAUAAUUAAGCUCUUUAAUAGCCCAAUAUGCUUUAUGUUCAAGUUCAAGAGGUAAAUGACAUGCUUUUCCAUAAACCAUCUUAUAUGGAGACAUACCCAUAGGAUUUUGUUAUGCAGUUCUAUAGGCCCAUAAUGCAUCAUCAAGUUUUUUCGACCAAUUCUUUCUAGAUCUAUUCACAGUCUUUUGCAAAAUUAAUUUGAGCUCUCUAUUGCUCAACUCUACUUGACCACUAGACUGCGGGUGAUAUGGAGAUGCAAUUCUAUGAUUGACAUCAUACUUAGCAAGCAUCUUACAGAAAGCACCAUGAAUAAAGUGUGAACCACCAUCAGUCAUAAGAUAUCUAGGGACUCCAAAACUCGGAAAAAUAACUUCUUUAAGCAUUUUAAUAGAAGUGUUAUGAUCAGCACUACUAGUUGGAAUAUCUUCUACCCACUUAGUAACGUAAUCAACAGCAACUAAAAUAUGUGUAUAACCAUUGGAGGCAGGAAAAGGUCCCAUAUAAUCAAAGCCCCAAACAUCAAACGGUUCAAUAACAAGAGAAUAAUUCAUAGGCAUUUCUUGACGUCUACUGAUGUUACCUAUUCUUUGACAUUCAUCACAAGAUACGACAAACUUACGAGCAUCUUUGAAAAGAGUAGGCCAAUAAAAACCAGAUUGUAGUACCUUGUGUGCAGUUCUAUCUCCAACGUGGUGUCCUCCAUAGGAUUCAGAGUGACACUUGCGUAGGAUUUGUUCCUGUUCAUGCUCAGGCACACAAUGUCUAAUAAUACCAUCUACUCCUUCUUUAUAAAGGUGUGGAUCAUCCCAGAAGUAAUGUCUUAAAUCAUAAAAGAACUUUUUCUUUUGCUGGUAUGUGAAACUAGGCGGUAUAUAUUUAGCAACAAUAUAAUUAGCAUAGUCAGCAUACCAAGGAGCAGUACGAGAAGCAUUGACGACCGCUAAUUGUUCAUUAGGAAAGCUAUCAUUAAUAGGCAGUGGGUCAUCAAGAACAUUCUCUAGCCUAGACAAGUUGUCUGCAACGGGGUUCUUAGCUCCUUUUCUAUCAACAAUAUGCAAGUCAAAUUCUUGGAGCAAGAGAACCCAUAUAAUGAGUCUAGGCUGAGCAUCUUUCUUUUCCAUAAGAUAUUUAAUAGCAGCAUGAUCAGUGUGAAUAGUAACUUUGGAAUCAACAAUAUAAGGUCUAAACUUAUCACAUGCAAACACAACUGCUAAGAACUCUUUUUCAGUGGUAGCAUAAUUUCUCUGGGCAGUAUCAAGAGUCUUGCUAGUAUAAUGGAUAACAUUCAAUUUCUUAUCAACUCUUUGCCCUAAAACAGCCCCUACAACAUAAUCACUAGCAUCGCACAUAAUUUCAAAAGGUAAAUUCCAAUCAGGUGGCUGAACAAUAGGUGCAGUGAUCAAAGCUUUCUUAAGUUUUUCAAAUGCUUCUACACACUCAUCAUCAAAGACAAAAGGAAUAUCUUUUUGCAAUAAGUUAGUCAGAUGCCUAGAGAUUUUAGAAAAGUCCUUAAUGAACCUCCUAUAAAAACCGGCAUGACCAAGGAAACUUCUUAUACCUUUUAUGUCCUUGGGACAUGGCAUCUUUUCAAUAGCAUCAACUUUGGCUUUAUCAACUUCAAUACCUCUCUCGGAGAUCUUGUGCCCCAAGACAAUGCCUUCAUUAACCAUAAAGUGACACUUUUCCCAAUUCAGGACGAGACUAGUGUAUUCGCAUCUCCGCAAAACUCGAUCAAGGUUGCUCAAACAAUCAUCAAAAGAGGAUCCAUAGACGGAGAAGUCAUCCAUGAAUACCUCACAAAUCUUUUCACAAAAAUCAGAAAAUAUAGCCACCAUGCAUCUUUGAAAGGUAGUAGGUGCAUUACAUAAACCAAAAGGCAUACGUCUAUAAGCAAAAGUACCAAAAGGGCAAGUAAAAGUAGUUUUAGAUUGAUCCCCCACUGAAACAGGUAUCUGAGAGAAGCCAGAAUAACCAUCUAGAAAGCAAAAUUGUGUGUGUUUGGAUAGCCUUUCUAGCAUUUGAUCAAUAAAAGGUAAAGGGUAAUGAUCUUUCUUAGUAGCUUUAUUUAACUUACGGAAAUCAAUUACCAUCCUAUAGCCUGUAAUAAUUCUUUGUGGGAUCAAUUCAUCUUUAUCAUUAGGAACAACGGUAAUACCUCCCUUUUUAGGGACACAAUGGACAGGGCUUACCCAUUCACUAUCAGCAACGGGAUAAAUAAUACCUGCCUCAAGGAGUUUUAGUAUCUCCUUUCUUACCACUUCCUUCAUUUUGGGAUUUAAUCGUCUUUGAGGAUCUCUAACAGGUUUGGCAUCUUUCUCCACUGAAAUUUUGUGUUGACAUAAUGUGGGACUAAUGCCCUUAAGAUCGUCCAGAGUAUAUCCAAUAGCAGCUCGGUGCUUCUUCAGAGUUUUCAAUAAUCUUUCUUCUUCUUUCUCUGAAAGGUUAGCACUAAAUAUAUUUAUUUUUCAUCAAGAUAAGCAUACUUAAGAUUAUCAGGUAAUGGUUUGAGUUCAAACACGGGAUCACCCUUGGAUGGAGGGGGAUCCCCAAGAAUUUCAACAGGAAGAUUAUGUUUCAGCAUAGGUUCUUGUUUAAGGAACACUUCAUCUAUUUCUUCCCUUUCCUUCAUAAACAUAUCAUUUUCAUGGUCUAGCAAAUAUUGUUCUAACAGAUCAGUUGGAGGAAUAGCAAUGGAAGCAAGACCAAUAAUUUCAUCCUUACUAGAUGGUUCCUUUUCAUGAUGUUGUCUACUAAACUUGGAGAAAUUGAACUCAUGAGACAUACCAUCUAUGCCAACAGUGACAAUAUUCUUUUCACAAUCAAUCUUAGCACUAGCAAUAUUCAAGAAGGGCCUACCAAAAAUAAUGGGACAAAAAUCAUCUUGUGGGGAACCAAGAACAAGAAAAUCAGCAGGGUAUUUAAUCUUCCCACACAAGACUUCAACAUCUCUAACAAUCCCAAUAGGCUUAAUGGUAUCCCUAUUAGCAAGCUUAAUAUUGACAUCAGUAUCUUCUAAUUCAACAGGUGCAAUAUCGUGCAAAUUUCUUUAUAAAGAUCAUAAGGUAUCACAUUAGCACUAGCACAGAUAUCACAUAAACCAUGAUAACAAUGAUCUCCUAUUUUAACAGAAAUAACAGGCGUGCCUACAACAGGUCUACGUGUCUUAGUAUCGGGUCUAGCAAUAUUAGCAGUUUCACCCAAGAAAGAGAUAACCUGCCCAUCUAAGUCCUCAUCCAAGAGAUCUUUAAUCAUGGCAAUACCAGGUUCAACAUUAAUUUGCUCAGAAGGUGUAUAGGUCCUAGUAUUACUCUUACGAACAACAGUCGAAGCUUUAACAUGAUCUUUUAUCCUAACAGGAAAAGGAGGUUUUUCAACAUAAGCAGUAGGAAUAAUAGGAUCACUAUAUGUAAUAGUCUUCUCUUUGACUGUAAUAGGUGCAACUACUUUCACUUCAACAGGAGGAUUAUAUUUAAAUCACUUCUCUUUAGGGAGAUCAACGUGAGUAGCAAAAGUUUCACAAAAAGUAGCUACUAUCUAAGAGUCAAGUCCAUACUUAGAGCUAAAUCCAUGGAAAGCAUCGGUAUCCAUAAAAGAUUUAACACAAUCAAACUUAGGUGUCAUACCUGACUCCUUACCAUCGUCGGAACCCCAAUCUUCAGAGUUGCGUUUAAUUAUUUCCAAUAAGUCCCAUUUGAAAUCAAUAGUCUUCAACAUAUAGGAACCAGCACAGGAAGUAUCGAGCAAGUUGCGAUUAUCAAGAGAAAGCCGAGCAUAAAAAUUCUGAAUAAUCAUUUCCCGAGAGAGCUCAUGAUUGGGGUAUGAAUACAACAUUGACUUAAGCCUCCCCCAAGCUUGAGCGAUGCUUUCUCCUUCGCGAGGCCAGAAAUUAUAUAUGUAAUUACGAUCACGAUGAACAAGAUGCAUAGGAUAGAAUUUCUGGUGAAAUUCCAACUUCAAUCGCUUAUAAUUCCAAGAUCCCGUAUCAUCACAUAGCCUAUACCAUGUCAUUGCAUCUCCCUUCAAAGAUAAAGGGAAGACCUUCCUUUUGACAACAUCAUCGGGAAUACCUGCAAGCUUAAAUAAUCCACAAACUUCAUCCACAAAGAUGAGGUGUAAGUCGGGAUGCAAUGUUCCGUCUCCUGCAAAAGGAUUAGCUAGCAGUUUUUCUAUCAUACCCGAAGGAAUCUCAAAGUGAAUAUUUUCAUAAGGUUCAGUAGGUUGAGGAGCAUCUCUUUGCUCUUCUGGUUGGGGUGAAGAUACCCCAAACAAGCCCCUCAAAGGAUUAGUUUCCAUAGUGACAAGUAACAGAAGAUUUCAGCACACUAUAUAAAUGUUUCCUUACCAAGUUCCACUCACCAAGAGCGCUAGGCUCCCCGGCAACGGCGCCAGAAAAGAGUCUUGAUGACCUACAAGUGUAGGGGAUCUAUCGUAGUCCUUUCGAUAAGUAAGAGUGUCGAACCCAACGAGGAGCAAAAGGAAAUGAUAAGCGGUUUUCAGUAAGGUUUUCUCUGCAAGCACUGAAAUAGUAGGUGAUAGAUAGUUUUGUGAUAAGAUAAAUUGUAACGAGCAAAAAGUAAAUGAAGUAAAUAAAGUGCAGCAAGGUGGCCCAAUCCUUUAUGUAGCAAAGGAUAAGCCUGGACAAAUUCUAAUAAUGAGGAAGGAGCUCUCGAGGACACAUUGGGAAUUAUCGUCAAGCUAGUUUCAUCACGUUCGUAAGAUUCGCGUUCGGUACUUUGAUAAUUUGAUAUGUGGGUGGACCGGCACUUGGGUACUGCCCUAACAUGGACAAGCAUCCCACUUAUGAUUAAUCCCUAUUGCAAGCAUCCACAACUACAAAAAGGAGUAUUAAGGUAAACCUAACCACAACAUUAAACAUAUGGGUCCAUAUCAACACCUAACGAAGCAAUGCAUAAACUAGGGUUUAAUCUUCUGUCACUCUAGCAACCCAUCAUCUACUUAUUACUUCCCUAUGCCUUCCUCUAGGCCCAAAUAAUGGUGAAGUGUCAUGUAGUCGACGUUCACAUAACACCACUAUAGGAAAGACAACAUACAUCUCAUCAAAAUAUCGAACGAAUACCAAAUUCACAUGACUACUAAUAGCAAGACUUCACCCAUGUCAUUAGGAACAAACGUAACUACUCACAAAGCAUAUUCAUGUUCAUAAUCAGAGGGGUAAUAAUAUGCAUAAAGGAUCUGAACAUAUGAUCUUCCACCAAGUAAACCAAAUAGCAUCAACUACAAGGAGUAAUCAACACUACUAGCAACGCACAGGUACCAAUUUGUGGUUUUGAUACAAGAUUGGAUACAAGAGAUGAAUUAGGGUUUUGAGAUGAGAUGGUGCUGGUGAAGACGUUGAUGGAGAUUGACCCCCUCUCGAUGAGAGGAUCGUUGGUGAUGACGUUGGUGAUGAUUUCCCCCUCCCGGAGGGAAGUGUCCCCGGCAGAACAGCUCCGCCAGAGCCCUAGAUUGAUUCCGCCAAGGUUCCGCCUUGUGGCGGCGGAGUUUCGUCUCGUAAGCUUGCCCACGAAUUUUUCCAGGACAAAACCCUUCAUAUAGCAGAAGAUGGACGCCGGAGGCCCACCAGGGGGCCUAGGAGAUAGGGGGCCGCGCCCUAGGGGCGCGCCCCCUGUCUCCUGGACAGGGUGUGGGCCCCUGGCCUAUUUCUUUUACUCAUAAUUUCUUAAUAAAUCCAAAAGGUUGUUUCGUGGAGUCUCAGGUCUUUUGGAGUUGUGCAGAAUAGGUUUCCAACGUUUGCUCCUUUUCCAGCCAGAAUUCCAUCUACCGGCAUCCCCCCUCUUCAUGGUAAACCUUGUAAAAUAAGAGAGAAUAGCCAUAAGUAUUGAGAUAUAAUGUGUAAUAAUAGCCCAUAAUGCAAUAAAUAUUUAUAUAAAAGCAUGAUGCAAAAUGGAUGUAUCAUGGCUGCACAGGGAAGUUUCCAGCAUGAAAAUAAUCUUAUGAUCUUUUUGAGCCUGGGUGGCGAACCGUAGGAUGAUCACACGGGUACUCUGGGAUAUCCUAGGACAACACUGGAUUCUCCAGGUGCCUUGACAACCACUGGGUACUCCAGGGUGCCUCAACCAAUCCACCCAGAUGUGUGUUUAAGUAGCCACCUUAAGUUAACCAUUAAUUAACAAUACUCAUAUCUGUCAUGGAUACACUCACCCAAAACACGUCUAUGAGCAUAGCAUAGCAAUCCUGAGCAUAACGUAGAAGAAACUCCCAAAGGUUUGAUAAUAAAAGGGUAAUAGGUUCUACCUCAUCAUCUACUUCCCAAGCCCACAUGUUAAACAGAUCCUAACCAUGCAAUGUUUGAGGGUUGUAACUAAUGCAUAAAAACUGGGUAAUAAAGGGAUAUGAUCAAAGUGUUACUUGCCUUGCUGAUGAUCUGCAAAACCUAGGGACUCGUAGUAGCACGCUUCGCACUCUGGGUGUUCUAUCGUAAAAAAAAUUAACAUACAAUGAGCACUCAACUAUAAACACGGGUAAAACUCAAAUAAGAAGAUCUACCAGAAAGUUCAACUGAAGAACUCCGGUUUGCAAAAAAAUCAAAUCAAACGGAGCAACGAAACUGAAACUACGAAAGAAACAAGAUCCAUUUAUUAAUCUGGACUAAAGUCAAAUUUUACUGUACCAAAAUCUUGUUCAAGUUGGUUAAAUAGAAAGAGGGCUUUGAGACGAAGAUCUAGGCGCUUGUUUCACCUGAUUCCGAUAAACGAGCGAAAAGAUAAACGAAAAUGAAGAUCAGGGCAGAAAUCACGAUAAAAAAUAAUCGCGGAAAAACCCUGAAAAAGAAAAGCAAACGAACAGGCUAACGAACGAACGUUCGCUGUCUGCUGCUAACUGACGAACAGCAUUCGUUAAAACGAACGUACGGACGAACGUCCGCUACUUAACUUAACCGGAAAAAAAACCGAACCGAUCUGAAAAAAACAAAUCUAGGGUUUCGAAAAAAAAACAAUCGAUUUUUCUGGGAAAACCGUACGGCGGCGGCUACCUCGACGGCGACGGGAUCGGCGNNNNNNNNNNNNNNNNNNNNNNNNNNNNNNNNNNNNNNNNNNNNNNNNNNNNNNNNNNNNNNNNNNNNNNNNNNNNNNNNNNNNNNNNNNNNNNNNNNNNNNNNNNNNNNNNNNNNNNNNNNNNNNNNNNNNNNNNNNNNNNNNNNNNNNNNNNNNNNNNNNNNNNNNNNNNNNNNNNNNNNNNNNNNNNNNNNNNNNNNNNNNNNNNNNNNNNNNNNNNNNNNNNNNNNNNNGGCGGGGUCGGGCCGUGGCUUUUAAAGGGCCGGCUGGGCGCAGUGUCCAGGUUAGACACGGCCCGUUAAGUCGAUUCAACUUUUAAAAAGAAUCCCCACGCGGAAAAAAAUAAAAUAAAUACUAAACAGAGUCCAAAAAUCUUGAAAUAAAUUUUCACGGUCCUUUAAUAAUAUCACGGACAAUGUGAACAUUUAUUUGGGCCUCUAAUGUAAUUUUGAAAAACGCACUUUUUCCUAAUUCAAAUAAAAUAGCAAUAAAAGUCCAAACAAAAAUCUUAUUUGAUUUUAAUAUUUUUCCUCUAAUAUUUAUUUUAUUUUGGAGAAGUCAUUUUAUCUCCUCUCUUUCAUUUUAACAUUGGAAAUAUUCGGAGACAAAAAUGAUUAAAACCAAAUGAUCCUCUUUUCAAAAUUUGAGAAAACUCAAAUAUGAAAAAUAAACGAAAUCCCCAACUCUCUCCGAGGGUCUUUGAGUUGCUUAGAAUUUCUAGGAUCAACCAAAAUGCAAUAAAAUAUGAUAUGCAAUGAUGAUCUAUGUAUAACAUUCCAAAUUGGAAAUUUGGGAUGUUACAUUCUGGAUAUAUUAUUUAUCCUUUAGGUCAAUAUAAUAAUCUUGUCCAAUAUAUUUUUAUCUAUGCCUCUUCGCUUCUGGAUAUAUUCUUUAUCCUUUGGGCCAAGAUGAUAAUCUUGUCCUAUUUUGCUCCUUGCCUAUUUCAAGGCAUCAUUGAUAUUAUCAUAUCUUUUGAAUGUUAGCUCUUCGUUUCUUCGCUUUGCUACAAACUUCUCUAUUUGAACUUCUUCCCAUGAUAUAUAUAUAUAUAUAUAUAUAUAUAUAUAUAUAGACGGUCUAUUCUGCUAAUAUUAGCAGAAUAACUAUUCUGCACACCACUUCCGCACUGCACGCUGAACGCAAGUGCACUGCAUCUUCUUGACGACUAGCACUGCAAUAUAGACUAGUGAACUUCGCGUCGGAAAAAAUUGCACGCAGUGUUUUUCUGGUACUGUUUUCGCUCUAGAUUGAUUAUCGGAACGAGACAUAUAAUAUACCGUUGAAAAGCUAUGGAUCAGGCGCAACUUUGACAUGUUGAACAGUUUUCGAUAUUUCACACGGUUUAAGAGCAGUUUUGAAAAUGGUGCGGCGGAUGACGAGUGGCAGCGAGCGUUUUUCGCGUUUUUUUCUAAACCGCUUGUCGGAAUGAAGCAAAUGAUACGCCGUUGGAUAGAUAUCGUUGAGGCGCAUCUUUUUCAUAUAUAAAUAUUUCUCUAAUUCGUUACGGUUUAAGAGCAGUUUCAAAUUUACUAAAUCGUGGAAUUCUGUUUUUCAAGUUUUUAAAAAAAUUUGGUACUGUUUUCGCUCCAGUUUUUGAACCGUUUGUCGAAAUGAGGCGUGUGAUACGCUGUUGGAAAGCUACGAAUGAGGCGCAACUUUCAUAUGUUGCAAUGUUUUUGAGAUUCCUUACGUUUUUAGUUUAUUUUGAAAAUCGUGCGGCUGACUACGAGAGGCAGCGAUCGUUUUCCGCGAAAUUUUUACAAACCACUGCUCGGGAUGAUUCAAACGAUACGCCGUUGGAUAGGUAUCGAUGAGGCGCAACUUUUUCAUGUAGAACACUCUCUCUAAUUCUUUACGGUUUAAGAGGAAUUUUGAAUUUACCGAAAUGCGGACACUCUGUUUUUCGCGACACCCAAAUCGACGUGGGUACUUCAUCCGACUGAAAACCGCACUGCAUCGGACGAAAAACCGCACCGCAUCAAACGGUCAUGUGAACUUCAUGAUUUCUUUUGUCAAACGUAAAUUUUUCUCACAUGAGUUUUUGUUGUCUUUUUGUUCAAAAAAUUUCGUGAAUGAGAGUGGACCACAACACUUCCAAAAGUGAACCGUAACACUAUCCAAAGUGAACCUCAUGAGUUCUUAUUGUCUUUUUUCCAUACUUAUUAAUUUUUACGCGCGUUGACCAAGCGUGUGGACCACAUGGACCGAGCGAUUGAACUACAUAUAAUAUAGAAAUGAGCUUCUUUGAGAAUUUUUCCUCCUAUUUUUACAAGUGGGACAAGUGAACCACGUAGAAGUUUUAUAGCACACUGCAUGGGACAACAAAGUGAGCUUCAAAGCCACAUCUAUCUAAUAAAGACAUAGUGAGCUGCAUCGUUUCCUUUUUUACCAUGAAACAAGUGAACAACACUCUGUUUCUUCCUUAUUAAACGCAAUGAACCACAAGACUCCUCCAAGUGGGCUGCAUCCAUUUAUGUCUCUUGAAAAAUGACCCAUUAAUGCUUGUUGAAAUGAACUUCUCGACAAAUAUUUCAUUUUAUUUAUUGUUUUACCUAAAAAAUGAACCGCAGGGAUGAGAUAAGUGGGCUGCAAUUUUCAGUUUCCAAAAGUAAACCACCAAACCAUAUUUAGCAAACUUUGUCAUUAACUAUUAUAUUCAACAUUGUUUUCGCCAAAUAGUUUCUUUUUACAAGUGAACCACUGAGUAUGGCAGAACGAACAGCAUUGCUUUUUUCAAUAAUUACAAAAAAAAUCGGACACGCAUGCACCUUCUCAAAAUUGCACAUGGUGUGGCUGGUUGCCGAACUGCAACACCCUCCCGGCUAACCUGCAUACAUUGCUUGACUGCACUGCAUAUCCACACACACACACACACACACACACACACGUUUGCAUCAAGCACACACCAGCCGGCAACAAGCAAUCUAUUUUUACUAGUUGAUAGAAAGCCCAACGCAUAUCAUGUGUUCAUAUGGCAUACUGAAACGGGGUGCACUGCGCAAUGACCAAAGUGCACCACUGCUCCCACCGGAGUGCACUACGGACCCCGAACUCCCCCAUAAGAGUUGCUCACACCCAUGAUGUGGGCUGCAAGCUGCAACAAAACGGUCUGCAGCAGAGAGGAGUCGAUUCAGAGGAAAAAGCCAACACCUGGUCACUGGAGGAGGCAAACCUGCAGUUAGGAGUAGAAGCAAUGGAACUGGACGAAGGUGCAGUACAGUGGAAAUGCUUGAAAAGGGGGCGUCAACUGCAUGGGCAUGCGCGCCCAACCCCAUCGCGAGCCCGGCGCACUGCAAGUCUGGUGUUGCCUGCACUGUAAUGCAAGGAGAGGAGGGGCAACUCGUCGGGGGUAAGAGGGGGCGCAUGAGAUCCGUCGGUGGAGGCUCUUGCUGGGAGAUCCAAGAACCUAGGAUGUGGGCUACAGCGCAGUGGUUGUGCACUGCACGCGCAUGUGGGUGGAAGUUGGAUGGUGUGGCACUCACCGUCGGCGCCACGGAAGUGCAGUCCGUCGAUGGUAGCAAUGGGGAGCAGUCAGUCGCUGCACGCGUUGCCGCGGUUGGUGGAAGAGGUUUGAAGGCACGGGGCUAUCGUCUUCCCUCGAUCUAGCUCUCUGCCGCGAGGAAGAUGGAUCAGAGCUGGAUCUGCCCGCCAACUCUGGGCUGUGCGGGAUGGUGGGCACAGGAGGUCGACUGGAUCCGGCCACGGUGGCGCGGCGGGAGGCCACCGGGGCGGGGGGCUACGGAUCCGACCACCACAGCGCAGAAGGUGGUCGACGCUCGCGGUAGGGGCACAAUGGUGGCCGGGGGAAAGGCGACGCGGCGGCGGCCUGGGGAGGGCCGACCUUUGUCGCCGGGCAGCGAUUGUCGGAGAAGUGAGGAGGAAGAAGAAGGAAAGGAGAGGGAGGAGGGUGGCUAGCCUCCGGUGCUGCUAUGGUCGUCCGUGCAGUGGCGUGAGGAGAGGUAGGACGACCGGAACCCAUGUAGCGGUGGAGAUCUUGAGGAGGGGAACACGAGGGGAGGUGGAGCAGGAUCUGCCGGAUCCGGUGGCUGCUGGGCAGGGCUUGGCCGCCGGAUGUUGUUGGUUGGGCGGGGGCACGACCCUGUGCAGCGGCGGCGGGCAGAAUAGGAAGGCGGGGCAGGAGAGGCGGNNNNNNNNNNNNNNNNNNNNNNNNNNNNNNNNNNNNNNNNNNNNNNNNNNNNNNNNNNNNNNNNNNNNNNNNNNNNNNNNNNNNNNNNNNNNNNNNNNNNNNNNNNNNNNNNNNNNNNNNNNNNNNNNNNNNNNNNNNNNNNNNNNNNNNNNNNNNNNNNNNNNNNNNNNNNNNNNNNNNNNNNNNNNNNNNNNNNNNNNNNNNNNNNNNNNNNNNNNNNNGAGGGGUGGGGACGGGGGGGGCGCCGGAGGGAUGGGGAUGGUGCGCGGGAGUGGGGGCGGCAGGUAGUGGUGGUGGUGGGGAAGAAGGUGGGCAACGAGCGCUAGGUGGGGUGGGGUGAGCUGCUGCAGUUUUCUGUUGUUGCUGUGCGGUCCGAGUCAAGUGAACGGAGGAGUACAGAAGUGUUAGCAGAAUAACACUAGUAUUAGCAGAAUAAGACUCUUAAGGGUGUUAUCAUAAUAUAUAUAUAUAUAUAUAUAUAUAUAUAUAUAUAAAGGUUCUUCUCUUAUGGUUUACUUCUGUCAAACAUAAUAUAUAAAGGUUCUUCUCUUUGUACUUCAAUUUUGCUGACCUUGGAAUAUUUUUGUUCAACACAUUAAAAUAUCGUGCGAGACUACUGAGAUUAGACAACAUGUAUCCUUUCUCUUCUCUAUUCAUUAUGUAUUGAUACCAAAGAUUAUCAUAUAAGCAUUCUUGGAUCUCAUCAAUACGGAUAUGGCUCUUCGGUUUGAUAUUGAAUGUAUUUGGUGGAAAUAUUUUCAAUUUAUUAUCAUCUCCAAAUAUAAAGCGUUCACUUCCACUGCCGAGGGUUCCUUUCUUCAUUUCUGUAAAAUUUGUGAACGAGAAAAUAUGUCAGGUAAACUAUUAUAUUUUCCCUUAAUAUGGUUAAAUAUUAAUUUAUACUCAUUACCGACAAUAGUAUCUUCAAAUAAGACCCAUCUUCCCUUAUAAUAUUAAUUUUGCAAACUAUAGAGUUCUUAUCACAAUGCUACAUUGGUAUUUCCCCAAUAAUUUGUAUAUUUUCUAGUCUUUGCACAAUCUUGUCUAUAUCUUUUUUGGAUUUUAUAUCUCUAUACCAACUUGGAGAGAAUGGUUGUAACCCUAUACAUUUUGUAUAUGUAUUUUCUAUAUGAUAUUCUUCUAUGGUCUCACUAAGUUAUUCUUCUUUACAGAAAUCAAGGGGAUCCGAACUUGUGUUAUAUUCAUCAUCUAAAUUAGAUAUUUCUACAUUUUGUAAAUCCUUUGUUUGUUUCUGUACUUCGGAUAUUUAUGGAACAUUAUCUUGAUAUGGAAUAAAUGUAACCCCUUCUUCAUGUAUAAUCAUGGUUUGUAAAGAUUGUUGUAAAAAUCUUAACCCUAUUACCAUAUCAUCAUUUAUUACUAACAAAUAUAUUAUUGUAAUUUCAUCUAUUGUAUAUUUCAUGCCAUUUAGGUAAGCUUCAAUAUCAUGUGCCAAAUGGUUAUGGAUUUUCUUUAUUUCAGCCAUAUCAGUAGAUACUUCGGCUUUACUAUCAUCUAUGGUUUCGACUAGUUGGGGACAUCUGACAAAAUAUUUAUCAUGGAUUAUGUUCUUUGUGCAACCCGUAUCUAAUAGUGCCAAUAUUUUAUAGGAAAUAUGUUGCCUUAGAACUAUUCUAACUGGGAUCAUUAUCCCUAGCACUUCUUUGAAUGGUAAUCGAACAAUAUAUUUAUUUUCAAAACUAGUUAUUGCAUCUUUUAAUUGUAUUAAUCUGUCUCCAUUUUUAUCUCUUAUCAUUACCAUUUGUUUUUUCAUCUCCAUGCUUUUAGCAACAUUAUCUUCUCGCUCUUUACUAUUCUCUAACUCAUCUUUUAGUUUUUCUAGUUCUUGCUUCUAGUUUAUUUAUUCUAUUUUAUGAGUUUCUAACCAUGCUAGAUAGUAUUCUUUCUUCUGGUUCAAACUCUAUGUGAUUAGGCUAAUAUUCUACUCACUCUCCAAUAUUUAAUUCUUUAUUACUGUUUGCAUAGUCUAUUCUUUAUUAAGCUGGUUAUAUCUUAUUCUACGAUCUAUUAAGGGCUGGUGAGGCCAACAGAACAACCGAUGGUGUGCACGGAGUGGUGUGAUAUCCUACUCAUUACUCAUCAUAUUUUAUUAUUACUAUUAUGUUGUAUCAGAUGUAGCUAGGUUAGUUCACUUGAUGUUUUUAAAUACAAACUUACGUCUUCUCAGGCAGUUCCACCCGAAGAGAACACUUCUCUACGACCAUAAGGUUCUCAUUCAAACGCCAUAAGGCUAAAUAGAGAACUACCAGCAGAGGUUUCUCCUACAGAAUCCCUAGCAUAAGAACUCCCAUAAAUUCAUAAAAAAUAUACAAGUGAAGUACGAAACUUCAUUUUCAUAACAUAAUUUACAUAUGGUUUUCCCUUUCGGGAGGGCCUGAAGGGAUUACACAAGGUAAAUAAAAUAAAAUACCGUUUCUCCUAGGGGAACCCUAGCAUAAGAAUUCCCAUAAAUUCAUAAAAAAAAAUAGAAGUGAAGUACGAAACUUCAUUUUCUUAACAUAAUUUACAUAUGGUUUUCCCUUUCAGAAGGGCCUGAAGGGAUUACACAAGCUAAAAAGAAUACCUUAUUAUUCUUGGAGAUUACAACACCUUCGACAUGAUGGCUAUUCUACAAGUGGUGGUGAUACUACUAGUGCGCUGGAGGCUCUUCUAGCUCGAAGCUCUGGACUCCGUCUCGUCCUCCUCUUUUUAUAGUGCACAAGGGAUGCUAGAUGCUCCCUUCUCUAUUCUUCUGUAUCAUAGUUGGGAGUCUGAAGUGCCUCAAAGUUUGUACAAUCAGCCACGCAUGACUCCCAUGCUAGACUGAUGUUUUUGUCCAAACUAAGAACUUUGUCUAGAGUGGGAACUUUGUCCUAAAACUCAUCUUUUUAAUGCCAAACCUUGCAUGCACCGUUGCCUUGUAUCCAAGUGAGUAUAGAAAGAAUAAAGUUAUAACUCGCAGUAGAACAUGCAGAGUUGUUAAGUUUUAAAACAAGUUGCAAAAGGAAACAAGAGGGGUCAAAAUCCUACAAGUUAUUUCACCAGACUAGAUAACUCACCAAGUAUGAUUAAGUUCCUCUUGAGAAACAGCUGCUCUGCCUGGAUAAAUCAUAAGAAGACUGCAAGCACUUGCCAUUUACCAACCGCAAGCACUGGAGCCUGACAAUGCUAAAGCGCAACUGAGGGGGUGCCCGUUGAAAUUACUGAAACUCACAGGUUCCAGACCGAGGUGCAAUAUCACAGUAUCAAAACAUUUCACGAAAAGGAAAACAAGCGGCCCGUUCAAAUACAUUAAUAACACCAUAAAACAAAAUUUGACUCCGCUCCGCACAAGUGCAGAGUAAACCGAAGGUACAACCAUGUAGUUCAGCAACGAUAUAUAGUCUAACAAAGGAGGACCAAGCGUCGUAACAGAGAGCAAAGGCCAGACACGAGUAAAAAUGCAGUAAAUAGUAUCUCCUCCUGCCAGGUUGGUGCUGAAGCCUCCCGCGAUGCCCAGCACGGAAAAUGGCAGUGAUCCUGUAGUUCCUGCACAAGGAGAAAAUCAA